rnacentral:lncRNA from 1 species
GAUAUCCCUUGGAAUUCCACUGGAAUCUGGACAAUUCUACUCGACAGUUCUAUGUAUACAUGCACUUUGCUGAGGUUGAGGAGCUCCAAUCCAACCAGUUGAGAGAAUUUUAUGUAUCGCUUAAUGGUUGGUUCUGGAGUCCCGAACCUAUUGUUCCUGGAAGAUUGGUUCCACAUACUGGAUUUAGCACACAUUCCAUAAGUGCAUCAUCUGAGCUAUCACUUUCAAUUUAUAAGACACAUAGAUCCACUCUUCCACCAAUUCUCAAUGCUUUGGAGAUUUAUGAGAUAAAACAAUUGUUUCAAUCAUCAACUGUCCAGAGCAAUGGUAUGUGCCUUUGUCCUCAUAUUUCUUAAGGAAUUAUAGAGAAUAGGAUUAUUGUCUAGAGCACCCUCAAGUGCCUCUUAAGAUUAUUUAAACUGUGGGAGGCAACACAGAAACCUCCUCUUGACAGAUUGGAUUCAGUCUGGGACUGGGUGUAUCUUUGUCUGAUUCCAUGAGAAUGUACUAGAUUUAGGAUUUGGAUUUGGUGAUUUGAAUUCUUACUUCCAAUUUUGCCAUACUAAAUAAUUCUUCUCAAUUCGUGAUCUGUAUUUUUCUUUUCUUUAUGGUUUGUAACAUUUAAAAAGCCCACACAUGAUCCACUUACUCCUUUGUCUAUUCUUGGAAAUCAAAACUAGUUGAUGCUAUCAAGAAAAUCAAGAUGGUGUACAAGGUGAAGAAAAACUGGCAAGGAGAUCCAUGUCUUCCCAUUGAGUUCUCAUGGGAUGGCCUGAGCUGCAGUGACAGCAAUUCCAUUUCCCUUAGUAUCAUCUCUUUGUGAGUUUAUGCACCAAAAAAAAAAAAAAAAAGAUUUGCAGAAACAUAAUUUCAAUUAAUUAUUACUGUUAUUGUUAUUAAUUUUUCUUAUCUUCAGUAAGUGGAAAAGAUUUCUACAAACUAAUGUCACUCUAACUAGUAAACAGGAACCUUUCAUGGAGCAAGUUAACCGGGGAGAUAGAUUCUUCAUUCUCCAGUCUCACAUCAUUAAAAUAUUUGUAAGUACCAUAUAUAUAUAUAUAUAUAUCUCUAUCUAUCUAUAUAUAUAUAUGAAGUGGUGGUGCUUGGUAGCUAAGAAAAGUUUAUGGUAAUGGGCUAGAAUUUCAUCUAUUCUUUUGUUUUAGAUGCAAUGCUGUCAAGGAUUGACCGCUUGCAUUCACAUUCCCUUGUCAUAUUGAAUAGUACAGCUACGUACUAAAGCAAUCCCUUUCAUUACAGAGAUUUAUCUUACAACAGUUUGACUGGAAAAGUGCCAAACUUUCUGUCCAAACUUUCUUCCUUGAAGGCCCUGUAAGUUUUAGAAAUCUAUUCUUCACAAAACUUUAUCUUAAUUGAUCAAUAAAAGAACCUGAUGCCCAAAUUCUGUGUUCAUUUGCAGGAACUUGUCAGGGAAUAAUCUGACAGGUUCAGUUCCAUUGUCUCUCCUUGAAAAAUCUAGAAAUGGAUCCCUGUCUUUGAGGUCUGGUUGCUCAAAAUUAACCUUUAUUUGAAGUUUUCUUGGUGGUUAAUCAUUUCAUUUUUGGUAGCUUUUCUCAGUUACAACUUUUCUUUCAGAAUCCUGGACAUAUUUUUAUUUCCUUUAUUUUGAAAAAAAAUAUGUUUUUCCUGCCACUCUGACAUAUAUUAGCUUUGUUGAUGGUAGAUUGGAUGGGAAUCCACAUCUUUGUAAGAAAAACUCUUGUGAGGAUGAGGAAGAGGAGGGCAAGGAGAAGACGAAGAAUAAUGUUAUUGUUCCAGUAGUUGCAUCCAUUAUUUCAAUUCUAGUCCUCUUAUUAGGUGAGGUAGCAGCCCUGUGGAUAUUUAAAAGGAGACAACAAUACGGUAUUCUUCUUUUUCAUGGGUUAUUUUAAGAAAAAACUUGUGACAAUGCUGAUUACAUUUACAAUGAUCUAACUAGCUGUGAUAUUGUUGUGAAUCAACCUAAUUAAUGAAGAUGGUAUGAAAUUGGACUCUAUGAACUGCCACGUUAGUUACUCUGAGGUUGAUAGAAUCACUGAUAACUUCAAAAAAAUGCUUGGCCGAGGAGCAUCAGGAAAAGUUUACCUUGGCCAUUUAAGUGAUGGCACCGAAGUUGCAGUCAAGAUGCUGACACCUUCAUCAGUUCUAGUGUUUAAGCAAUUCAAGACUGAGGCAAGCUUCUCUACACUCGCGUUCAAAUGAUUCUGAUUUUGAACUGGCUAUAGCUAGUGUUCAGCUACAUAGCUAGACACAAACAAGAAGAAAAAUCAAUUUGAAUGUCGUUGGUUGUGUUGAUUUGAAUGACAGGCUCAGCUGUUGACAAGAAUUCAUCACAAAAACUUAGUUUCUCUAAUUGGAUACUGUGAUGAAGGUUCAAGAAUGGUGCUCGUUUAUGAGCAUAUGGCUGAGGGGAACUUAAAAGAGUAUUUAUCAGGUACCUAGUUGUGUUAUACCAAUGAAUGAGAUUUCAAUGUGGUUAUUUUAAUUCCUUCCAUACCCCAUUAAAACUUGUUUGUUAGAAAUAGAGUGAGUUUCAACAUUCAUGUCCAAAAACCAUGCAAUUUGACAAAACCAUAGAAUAGUUCUAAGAUAGUUACCAAAAUAACAGCUAAAUUCAAGAUUUGAAAAAUAUUAUUAUGCUACAUUUUGAUUAUUUCUGUGGUAUUUUCAAGUAAAUGCAAUAGCCUAAUAAAAAUUUAAUUCAUUAUGCAUGCGUGCAGGUAAAAAAGAAAUUGUCUUGAGUUGGGAACAAAGGCUUCAAAUAGCAAUUGAUGCAGCACAAGGUUCACUAAUUAAUUUUUUUUUUAUAAGUACACAAGGUUCACUAAUUAAUGAGCAUAUGAACUUAAAAAAUUUUCUUUUAGCUGUCUAGUUCUUUUUUCUACUAUUUUUUCCUGAACUAAUUGAAUUGGAAUUUGAAUUGUAGCACUGGAAUAUUUACAUGAUGCUUGCAAUCCACCCAUAAUCCAUAGAGAUGUAAAACCUGAAAACAUCUUAUUGACCAAAAAAUUUCAAGCCAAAGUUGCAGAUUUUGGGUGGUCUAGAAGUUUGCCCUCUGAAGGUGGAAGCUAUGUAUCAACUGCAAUUGUUGGCACACCGGGGUACAUUGACCCCGAGUAAGUUUUGUUAUUUCAAUGAAAUCCAAUGCUAUUAAAUUGAUGGGUAUUGUAGCAAAUCAAUAAAGUGAAACUUAUAACAGAAUUUGUGUCGUCAUUUCAAUUUGAUUGGGCUUUAAAUCAUUGUUGUUGUUUAGUAUGAGUUGCUCUUUAAGAAUUGACUGUUACUUCUUUCAACAUACAAGCAGCUAAGCAAUUGAAAAUUUUGUCAGUACCUUUUCUUUUAGAACAAACUGAAUUUCAAUUUAUUUAUUUUUUAGUUUAAAUCAACUGAGGUUGUUAGCAUGUUUUUUCAUGUAGGUACAACAGAACCUCAUUACCAAGUAAGAAAACCGAUGUUUAUAGCUUUGGGAUUGUUUUAUUGGAGGUUAUUUCGGGUCAACCUGUAAUCAUAAAGAUCACAAAAGAGAGCUCAUGUAACAUAGCAGAUUGGGUUCGCCUAGUAACUGCAAAAGGUGAUAUAAAAAUGAUUGUAGAUCCAAGGUUACAAGGAGAAUUUGAAGCCAAUUCUGCCUGGAGAGCUGUAGAGACAGCAAUGUCUUGUGUGCUACUCAGCUCCACAGAUAGGCCAACCAUGAGUCAUGUAGUAGUGGAAUUAAAAGAAUGUCUGAAAAUAGCCAUGGUCCAUGAAAGAACUGACAAUGCGGAAGAGGACCAGGGUCCUGUUAGUAUUGAAGCUGUCCAUGAAAGAACUGACAAUGUGGAAGAGGAUUGUGAUCCUUUUGGUAGUGAAGCUGCCUAUGAAAGAACUGAUGAUGCAGCAGAGGACCAUGGCCCUCUUGGUGUUGAAGCUGCCCAUGAAGUAACCAACAAUGCCAAAGAGGACCAGGGUCCUGUUGGUAUUGAAGCUCCACAUGAAAGAAAUGACAGUGGGAGAGAGGGCCAUGGUUCUGUUGGUAUUGGAGCUGCCCAUAAAAGAAAUGACAAUGGGGAAGAGGACCAGUGUCCUGUUGGUAUUGAAGCUGCCCAUGAAAGACAUGACGAUGGGAAAGAGGACCAUGGUCCUGAUGGUAUUGAAGCUGCCCAUGAAAUUACUGACAAUGCAGAAGAGGACCAAGGUCUUGUUGGUAUUGAAGCCACCCAAGAAAGAACUGACAUUGUGGAAGAGAACCAUGGUCCUGUUGGUAUCGAAGCUGCCCAUGAAAGAAAUGACAAUGAUGAAGAGGACCAUGGUCCUGUUGGUAUUGAAGCUACCCAUGAAAGAACUGAUAAUGUGGAAGAGAACCAUGGUCCUCUUGGUAGCGAAGCUGCAAUGGCUAUCCAAGAAAGGUAGAGAUGUUUGUCAAAAAAUGGGUACAUAUAUACUGUUGAGGGCUGCUCAAUUCAUAGUGCAAAUCCUUGUCUCUUUGGUGGCCUUUAUUUGGAAAAACACACUUCUUUGAAAUUACAUGAUUUCAUAGAGUUCUGAUUAUCUAUAGGAUAACCUUUCCACAUUUCUUGUGGUACAAUCCUCUUCCCUUCAAUUAUUUUAAAUUAGUAUGAAAAAUUUUAGAAAAUUGGGUAUUUGCAAGAAGGCAUUUGUUGUGUUUAAGUGAGGGGAAGUGCUUGUUUUCUUCAUUUUGAUUCUUUUUUCUUUUUUCCCUAGAAGUUCUAUCCAACAAGAAUGAAGUCAAACAGCCAGUAAAUUAUAAAAGUUCAAGGAGUAUUUGAUAAAAAAUAGCAAUGAUUUUUCAAUGGUUCUUGUUCCCACUUUUACAUAUAUUAUCUGUUUUGACGCUAGCUUGGAGUUUCAACAGGAAUCUGGAUUUUUGUAGGACAAACUCAUAUGGGGCGGCCAAGGAAAAGAAGAAGGAGAAGAAGAAGAAUGUUGUAGUUUCACCAGUUGCAUCAAUUACUUCAGUUGUUGUCCCAUCAGGUGAGUUAGUCAGCUUAGGAAUUUCUGAAAUGAGAUGGCAACAUAGUUUACUCCUAUUUGUUUUAUGGGGCAAUUUUAAGAGAAACCUUGUUAUACAGAAAUGCUGAUUACAUGUACUAUGAUUUUACUAUCUGUAGACAUUGUUGUCAAACCCAAUGAGGAUGAUAAAACAUUUGAGCCAAAGAACCAACACCUUACUUAUUCUGAGAUUGAAAGAAUCACUGAAAAUUUCCAAAAGGAGCUUGGAAAAGGAGCAUCAGCAAUAGUUUAUCAUGGUCAUUUAAGUAAUGGCACUGAAGUUGCGGUCAAGAAACUGUCACCUUCAUCAAUUCUAGGGUCAAAGCAAUUCAAAACUGAGGUAAACUUCUCUAUACUUGCAUUCAAGUUAUUCUGGAUUUGAACUCGCUAUAGUGUGGUUACUCAUUACCAGACAAACAAAAAGGAAAAUCAAUUUGAAUGUUGUGGGUGUUGAUUUGAGUGACAGGCUCAGCUUUUGACAAGAGUUCAUCAUAAAAACUUGGUUUCUCUAUUUGGAUACUGUGAUGAAGGUUCAAACAUGGUGCUCAUUUAUGAGUACAUGGCAAAGGGGAAUUUAAAAGCAUAUUUAUCAGGUACUUAGAUUUGCUGUUAAUGUGCCUCUUUGAAAUUUGAUUAAUCAGAAUAGAAUCAUUUUAAACAUUCAUGUCUAAAAAUCCCAUAUUUUGAGAGAACCAUUGAGUAGUUCCAAAGACAGUGCCAAAACUAUGGAUGAAAUCAUGAUUUGAAACUACUGUUCUGCUAAAUGUUGAUGAUUUCUGUUAUAUUUUCAACAGCAAAAGCUCAUGCAAUAAAGAUUUGAUUUAUUAUGUCAUAUUUGCAGGUAAAACAGAAGCUGCCCUGAGUUGGGAACAAAGACUUCGAAUAGCAAUUGAUGCAGCACAAGGUUUGCCAAUGAGCAGAUAAAUUAGAAAUUUCUUAUAUCCGUCUUGUUCCUUUUUAUGCCUUUUUUCGUAAACUAUGUAAAAGUGGAAUUUUAAUUGUAGCAUUGGAAUAUUUACACAAUGGUUGCAACCCACCCAUAAUCCAUAGAGACGUCAAAACUGAAAACAUUCUAUUAAACGAAAAAUUGCAAGCCAAAGUGGCAGAUUUUGGGUGGUCUAAAAGUAUGCCUGUGGAAGGUGGAAGCUAUGUAUCAACUGCAAUUGUUGGCACACCUGGCUACCUUGACCCUGAGUAAGUACCCUUUGUUACUUUAAUGAAAUGGAUUGCUAGGAGAUUUAUGAAUGUCUUAGCAUAUGAAUAAAAGAAAAUUAAUGAAACUGGAAGCAGAGUUUCUGUUGCCAUUUGAGUACCGAUUGACAUUUUUGUUGGUUAGCAUGCAUCGUUCCUUAAGAAUUGACCGUCACUUCUUCCUACAUACAAGUAGCUAAGGCUAAUCAAAAUUUUAUGAGAAACUUCUUAUCAAAAAAAAAAAAUUAUGAGAAACUUCUCUUUCAGAACAAACUCAAUUUCUUUCCUUUUUCAUUAUCUAAAUCAACUGAGGUUGUUAGACUGUUUUUCAUGUAGAUAUCACAGAAACUCAGUGCCGAAUGAGAAAACCGAUGUUUAUAGCUUUGGGAUUGUUUUGUUGGAGCUUAUUUCAAGUAGACCUGCAAUCAUAAAGAUCACAGAAGACAAUCGAUGCAACAUAACAUAUUGGGUCCGCCCCAUUAUUGCAAAAGGGGAUAUAAGAAUGAUUGUAGAUCCAAGGUUACAAGGAAAAUUUGAGACUAAUUCUGCCAGGAGAGCAAUAGAGACAGCAAUGUCAUGUGUGUCACUCAGCUCCACUGACAGGCCUACCAUGAGUGACAUAAUAGUAGAAUUAAGAGAAUGCCUAAAGAUAGUGAUGACCCAUGAAAGAACGAAAGAGGGCCAUGCUUCUGUUGGUAUUGAAGCUGCAAUGACUGUUCAAGAAAGGUAUAAAUAUUUGUCAAAAAUUGGUACAUAUAGUUUAUAGGAUGAACACUUUUUUAAAAAAAUUAUUUGAUUUUAUAGAAUUGUGAUUGUGUAUAGGAUGACCUCUUUCCUUAUCUCAUGGUACAAUCCUCUUCUUAAAAUAUUUUCAAAUAUGAGAAUCUUCAAAAAGAAGAUUAUUUGAAAGAAAGAACUUGAGAUGUUUAAAGUUUUGAUUCAUUUCUUUUUCUUCUUCUUAUCUAAUAAGAACAUGUGUUGAAACAGUAAGUAAUUAUCUGCUUUCAUGCUAGUUUCAAUGGAAAUCAGGAUUUCCUUACGACAGGCUCGAAUGCGAAGGCUGCGGAGAAAGAGAAGGAGAAGGACGAGAAGAAGAAGAAAAAGAAGAAAAAGAAUUUUAUUGGUCCAGCAGUCACAUCAAUUACUUCAGUUUUAGUCCCCUCUGGUGCAUUAGCCAGCUUGGGAAAAUCUAAAAAGAAAUGGCCACAUGGUAUUCUUAUUUGUGUUGUGGGAUUAUUUUAAGAACAACUUGUGAUGCUGAAGUGCUGAUUACAUGUACUAUGAUAUUUUCAGCUAAAGAUAAGAGUUACUCCGAGGUUGCAAGAAUCACGAACAACUUCCAGCAGGUGAUUGGAUGUGGAGCAUUUGCAUCAGUUUACCUAGGUUAUUUAAGCGAUGGUACUGAGGUAGCUGUCAAGUUGCUUUCAUCUUCAACUAGAGGAUCCCAGGACCUUCAGACAGAGGCAAGCUUCUGUUACUAGCAUUCAAGAAGUUCUGAUUUUGAACUAGCUAUGGUGCAGUUAUGCAUUGCUAGAUGCAAAUGAAAAUUGAAACUUAAUUUGAAUAUUGCUGGGUGUUGGUUUGGGUGACAGGCUCAGCUGCUGACAAGAAUUCGACAUAAAAACUUGGUUUCUCUGCAUGGAUACCAUGAUGAAGGUUCAAUCAUUGCGCUCAUUUAUGAAUAUAUGGUGAAGGGGAGCUUAAGAAAGUAUCUAUCAGGUAUUUAGUUUUCCAAUACCCCUCGAGGCAAUCUGUGGUCAUAUAUGUGGGCAACCCCAUUGGUUUUGAUAACAUACUAGAAACCUAUUAAUAACAAAGCUAGGGCUUAUAUGAAGAUGUGAAACCACUGUUCUGCUAAUUCUUAUUAUUUUUGCAAUAUUUUUAAGUGAAGAUAUCAUUUGGGUUUCCUUUUAUAGCCCAAAACUGCCAAAACACAAAAAAGAAAAUUAAUUUUCUUAUGCCAUGAGUGCAGAUGAAAAUGAAGUUGUUUUGAGCUGGAAGCAAAGAAUUGGAAUAGCACUUGAUGUAGCACAAGGUUAGACAGUGAUCAGAUGAAUGGAAAAGUUUUCUUUACCUCUAGUUGUGUACCAUAAUUCUUUUUCUAUACUAACCAAAGUGGAAUUUGAAAUUUAGGACUGGAAUAUCUACAUGAUGGUUGCAGGCCACCCAUAAUCCACAGAGACGUUACAUCUGCAAACAUCUUAUUGAAUGAAAAAUUGCAAGCCAAAGUGGCAGAUAUGGGGUUGUCUAGAAGUCUACCCAUUGAUGAUUUGACUGAUAUUUCCACUGUGGUUGUUGGCACACCCGGGUACCUUGACCCUGAGUAAGUGCUCUCUAUUACUUCAUUGAAAUGCAAAGUCAACAAAUUGAUGGAUAUUUUGGGACACUAAUAGAAGAACAAUAAUUAAACUUAAAACAGAGUUUUUCUUACUACAUGAGCAAUAUCAGUUAAUAAUGUAACAAUAUUUCAUUUAGGACAAACUCAAUUGCUUGUUCUUGUUGAAGUGAUAGGAUUAAAAACACAAGUAAUUACAUAAAGUAGCCUAUUAAUUGAGAAGAAUAUAUUGUCUUCCAUCACUCUUGUUUAACAAAUAGAGAUUUCUAAUAACAAAAAAAAAAAAAUUAGAUGUCUCAACUCAAAUCAAAUUCUAAUUUUGAAAAUUUCUUAAACUCAAGCUUACUUUUGAAUUGUUCUUUUUUUUUUUUUUCUUUUUUCACAUAGGUAUUUUCAAUCCAAUAGGGUGUCUAUGAAAAGCGAUGUCUAUAGCUUUGGGGUUGUUCUGCUGGAACUUGUUUCAGGCCAACCUGCACUGAUAAAGAGCACCAACGGUAUAACUGAUCACCUAAUCAAUUGGGUUCGACCCCUGAUUGAUAGGAGGGAAAUAAGAGGAAUUGUGGAUCCAAGGUUAAAUGGAGACUUUGACAUUAGUUCUGCCUGGAAGGCUGUAGAAACAGCAAUGGCUUGUGUAAGAUUCAGCUCCGUUGAUAGGCCAACCAUGAGUGACAUAGCAUACGAAUUAAAAGGGUGUGUAAAUUGUUUAGCAAUAGCAACUGGGGAUGUGGAAGAGGACCUUGGUUCUUUUAUUAUUGAGGAUGCAAUGCUUCACCAACCAAGCUAGAAAUAUUUGCAAAAUGUGGUGCACAUCUAUUUGUAUUUUCUUGCCAAUUCAACAAAAUAAAUUGAACCUGUCAUGUAACAGUUUAGAGCAAGGUACGCACAGGUAGUUUCUUGUAAAGAGUCGUGCUUAAAUUAAAUGACUUGCUCUUCUCUUGAUACAUAUUGAAUGUUUUUUAUAUUCUACGUAUUUGAUUGACUUGCUAUGUGAUGAAUAUUGGAGUGAAAAGCUACACAUAUAUGCAUGUUUCAUGCAUAUAUGAAAUCUUUUACCAUCUGUGUGGUUGGUGUUUUGAAGGUUUCCUUAUUUUUUGGAUAACAGUUCUCCGAUUUGAAUAAAAGGAUGUCCUUGUUAUAUAGAAAAAAUGAAAAUAAAAAUAAAAUUUGAGUUAGUUAAGUUAUAAGCACAGGAUGUCCGCCCAUCUCAUGUCACCAAAUGAGAUUGGUGAAUUGGAGCCAUUGUUUUCCCAUACUCAUCAAUUCUUAGGGAGUAAUAUUAUUGCCAACCUAACAAAAGCUCUCCUCAACAUGAUAUUUUUAAGACUUGAACUCAUAACUUGGCUUUAAUAUCACUUGUUAUGAAUUAGUCAUUAGUUAUUUCAUAUUAAAUGUCAAUAAGGUCAAACUAAUCUCUUCAUAUGGUUUGAAUCAUGCCAAAAUCCAAGUUAGCUAAUAAUUGUGGACGUACUUUGAGUUUGAUCAUGAAUGACCAUUAACCCUAAAAACCCUAAGGUCGACUUGAAGAGGUGAUAACCAAGCUGUAAGGGGUGAAACUAGAUAUACUGGAAUGGAAGCAUAAAGAUUUAGGAAGAAGAUGAAGAGACACAAUUGGUAAAUGAGAAACUCAAUGAAUUCAAAUAAGGUUUUGUCUUGAUAUUAAUCAGAAAAAUACACUCUGUGUAGUUAAAUUAAGAGAGAGUAUGAUAAACUUAAUUUAUCGAGGUACUGUUGAUGCUUGGAAGUCGUUGAUCACUAUUUAACUUUGAUUUGCCCUAUCUAUAUCCAUCUUAAAGCCUAAUCUACAAGAGGAGUGAAGCCUAUAAUAAGUUAAUAAAUAAAAACUUUAAUUUGAUUCAUCAUCUUGAUAGUAUUCGAGGAGGAUUGAACUAAAAAGGAAUAUUAGGUUUCAAAUACAAUAUUGAGUUAUAAAACUUAGUUUGAUCAUAAAUGACCAUCACCAAAGAGAGAAAGCUUUGUUUGCACCAAUUUUUAAUUCUACCAUUGCAUUGGGGAUAUUCUAAACUUUAAGAUACACAAGUUUCCACCAAGAGUUUGCUUUUCUUAAAUUGUUUGUAGAAUUUGACUUCAUAAAAACCAACUUCUUUUGAAUUUAGGGUUAAGUUAAAUUUUGCUUUUGACUAUUCAUUACUGAUAUUUCUGAAGUCAAUCCUGAAGGAUUAUAAACUUAGAUAUUGCAUACCAUAAUUAUCCAUUCUCAACUUUUUCUAGUUGGGAUAGCUAUGUGACUAAGGGAAUAUUUAAGAUAACUGAGUUAAGAGAACUUGAUCUAAAUCAAGAGCAUAACCUUGUGAUUAGAAAGUGUUGAGCCAACAAUGAUAUAAUACUUCUAGAUUAUGAUAAAUUUCCCUUUUUUUUUUUGGAAUUAAAGUCUAACAAACAAGUGAUGGUAUAUUCAUCUCACAAAAAUAUGUCAUAGACAUUCUAAAAUGAUUCAAGAUGGAACUACCAACAAUAAUUUACACUCCUAUUGUAAAUUGAUUAAAGACAAAAAAAAAAAAAAAAAAAAAACAUAGGUGAAUUUGUAAAUCCCACAUAUUUCAAGGGCAAAAUGGGAAGCAGUCACUAUUUUGAUCAUGUAUUGUCCAUGGAGCAAGAAUUAUGAAUCAAUUUAUAGAAAAAAAAAAACCAACCUAUAACAAUCACACUUACAAGCAACAAAACAUUUGAAGUAUAUAAAUAGUACUCGUAAUAAUGAAAAUUUUUAUUCCCACUUAGGCACCCUUCAAUUUAGUGAGUUACCAUAUAGUAAUUGGUGAGAUGAUAUGGAGAUGAGAAAGGGUAGUGAUGAAUAUGUUUUUCAUUUUUUCAUACUUAAACAAAAUCAUUCUCAUGAUCUUUGAGGAAAACAAGUUGUAACAUUAUCGAUUACAAAGUUGAAUAUAUGGUAGCAAACUUCCAUAACAUAGCAGUUUGGAUUUGCAAAAUGCCUACAAAGUUAAAACAUGAAUAAAAAAAUUCUACAAAAAUUUUGUGUUAUAAUAAGUAUGGUAUUGUAUUAAUAAGGAAUCCAAUGUUCACACAACAUCCUUUUUAUUAGAAAACUUGUAAAAAAUGACAAAAUUGAGUUUGAGUUUAAUUUAUAAAUCAGAUUAUCAAGUUACAAAUACUUUUAAAAAGUCAACUAAUUCAAUGGAUGGGUGUAUUUGAGAAUUUGAAGAUAACGCUUAAUGUGUUUGACCUUAAAACUUGACUCAAGAGAUUGUUGAAAAUUUCAAUCCAACUUAAAGUUAAAUUAGAAAAAAAUUAAGAAUUUAAGAAAUAUUAGGACAUAUUAUUAUUUAUUUAUGUUUUUAUGUUAUUUAUGAGUCUCGUUCAAUUAUAAAUUGAAGUUGUAGUCCAAAUAUGAUUAUAACUUUGUUAUUAUAUUAAUUGAUGAGAGUUAAAUGACAAUAAAAUAUUAUUUUAAUAAAAAUGAUUAUCAAAGCCCAUAAUUGUUGUGAUUAACUUUAAAGCCUAUCUUAAGAGAGUUUGUUGAAAAUCUUAAUCCUACUUAAAUUCAAAUUAGAAAAAUAUUAGAAAUUAAAAAAAUAUUAGAAAAUAUUAUUACUUGUUUUGAAGUCUUGUUCAAUUAUAACUUAGAGUUGUAAUCCAAGUAUGAUUAUCAUGCUGAUUGAUGAGAGUUGAAUGAAAGUAAAAUACUUCUUUUUUUAAUAAAAGAUAUGCUUUGUUAUUAUAUUGAUUAUGGGAGUGUUUGGUACGUGGAGAUGAAGGGUGAUAAUAGAUAUCUCAUUCAUUUUUUCUCUCGUUCUAAUGUUUGGAUAAAUUUUAUGAAGGUAAGAAUAGAAUAAAAAAUUAUUCUAAUAGAAAUCAAAUUCUACUUAUAAGUGAGAUUUCAAUUUAUCGUAAAUAAGUAGUAUUCUGAUUUAUUCAUCUCAUAAGAAAAUAUAAAAUAGUCUAAAAUUACUAUUUUACCCUUGUAUUUCAUUCAUCAAACCUCGAUGCCUUUCUAUCCCAUAAUAAAACCUUUUUUCUUUAGUCUUGUUAUUUAGUAACAAAGAAAAACUCUCAAAUUUUAUUUUUUUAAAUGAAAAUAAAUAUAUAUUUUAAACUAUGUGUAAGGGUAUUAUUGCCAAUUUAUUUAUUUUUCAUUCUUAUUCCUAUUAUUAUCAAACAUUAUAAUGGAAACAAAUAAUCAUUCAAAUAUUGAAUUUCUAAAUCCAUCCAAACAUUAGAAAUGGAAUCACUAAAUUCAUUUAUAUUCACCAAAAAGUAAUAAUAAAAACAAAAUUUUCAUUUUCAUUCUUUAUUCUUGUAUACCAAACACUGUAUAUAAGAGAUGAAUGAUGAUAAAAUAGUGUUUUUAAUAAAAAUUAUUAUCAAUACCUAUAAUUGUGAUUCCAAUCAAUGAUUAAAAUAUCGCUUAUAUUGAAACCAUCCAAUACAAAAUCAGGCACUCACAACCCGCAACCCCUAAUAAGAGACCUAACCACCAAGGCAAACCCUUGUCCUUGUUAAAUAUUGUACAAUAAUAUAAAAAAUUAUAAUUAAUAAUAUUUAAAUAUAAAAUAAAUAUAAAUUUAUAAAUAUUUUUAAAUAAAAUUAAAAUAAUCAUACCCAUAUACAAAUGAGAUUGUCGAUCAUUUUAGUAUUAAAUAUAUUUUUAAGUUCGAUAUACUAUUAAAAGCCAAUUAUUAAUCAAACCUAGUUAAAUGGUAGCUAAUUAAUGCUAUAAGAGUAACAAAUUUAUGUAAACACUUGUGUAUAAACACCCUGCCCCAUCAAAAUUGGCGCAAGAAAAAAAGUUAAUAUUCAACAGAUUUUUCUUUUUAAAAAAGGGUUGAUCGGACAGAUGAAAAAUUGAUACAUUUCGGAUAGUGUACCUCAAUAAUUCUAAUAUAGUACUACUGUAAUUUUCUUGGCAUCCAACCAUCAACUUCGCUUGUUCACUCACCUCUUGUCAAUCAUGGUGUACAUCUAUAUGUAUCUUGAGUAAUAGUGCUCAUGUCAUUUCAAUUGAAACCAUCAUAUAAUAGUUUACGACAAGGUAUGGUCCCCAGAAGUAGCCUUUUGUAAAGAGUUGUGCUUAAAUUAAUGAGAUGACUUGUUAUUUUCUUGCUAUUGAAUAUUUGCUAUAUUUUGCAUAUUUGUGCUCAACCAACAAAAUACUAAUAAAAAUAUUGAAAUGAAUCUAUAUAAAACAAAAAUAAGGCCAAAAUAAAUAUUCGAAAAUGUACAAACCCAAAAUAUCAAAACCAUUAACAAAAUUGGGCUUGAAUUAAUAAACAAAACCUAAUGAAAUAUCUAAUAUAGUCUUAGUCCAAAAUUUUAAAUUAAUAACCAAUAACAAAGUUAAAAUAAAUUCAAUUAGACCUAAAACUCAAACUAAUAAACCCAAAUCAUUAAGGCCCAAAUGGAAUAAUCACAUCGAAUACAAGUCCAAGUAAACAAAAUUCAAACCCAAAUUAAAAAAUUAUUAUUAUAAAAAUCAAGACAAAAGGCAUUAUACAUUUUGCAGUCUUAGGAAUGAUGGUGGAGGGGAGCCAUGGAGGUGAAAAAGUGGCAGUGCUGAGAAGAGGAAAAAAGAAAAGAGAAGGAAAGGAGAGAGAAUGAGAGGGAAUGGGGAGUUUAAGUUCAAAAUAAUCCAUUUGUUGAAAAAAUGGUAAGAAUAGUAUUUAUCUCAAAAGAUUUGUCAAAUUAAUCUUUUGUAUCCAUAUAAGCAUCCACAUAGAUUUUUUUUUAAGUGUAAAAAAUCAUUGUUGGUAACUAUGGUUUUAAAAGUUUCAUAAAUAUUCUUAAAACCAUAGUACAGACUGUGGUUUUACAAUUUUCCUUAAAACCACAAUCAUAGACGAUGGUUUUUGUGGUUUCAAAAUUAUUUUUAAUCCACACCCGUUUUAAUAGUAUUGUGAUUUUAAUAUUAUUUUUAAAAUAUUCUUUAUCAUAAUAACCAUAAAAAAAAAAAUAUUUUUUGUCAUAAUAACCAUAAAACCACAGUUAGUAACUGUGGUUUUAAAAAAAUAUCAUAAAAUUCACAAUUACAUACGAUGAUUUUACAAUUUUCUUUAAAAUCAUAGUCACAAUUUUAAAUUUUUUCAUUGUAAAAAAGUUCGUUUCGGAAUGGGGAAAAUUUCUUACAAUUUUCCAUUGUCAAUUUAAAAUUAUUUUUUUGUACAAAUUAUCCUUAAUAAAUAUUUUUCGAGUGCUUUAAAAUUAUAUAUAUAUAUAUAUAUAUAUAUAUAUAUAUAUAUAUAUAUAUAUAUAUAUAUAUCUUUAUUUUUUUUCAUAUUUUCCUUAAAAUUUUAAGAAAAAAAUUUGGCCUAUAUGCAUUCCCAUAAAAAUUUAUAUAUUUAUGUUAAAUAAAAUAUUUAUUUAAGGAAAUUUGUAAGAAACAAACUUUUAGGAAAAUUGGUACAUCGUUAAGAAAUUUUGGUACAUCCAUAAUUUAUACUAAAAUAAAAAAUAAAAAAACAAAGUUUUAAAAUCUCAUAUUUUUUUUUUAGUUAUGGUUACAUGAGUCUCCCUUUAACUGUGGUUUUAAAGAAAAUUGUAAAACCAUCGUCUAUGACUGUGGUCUUUAUGAUAUUUUUAAAAUCAUAGUUACUAACUGUGGUUUUAUGGUUAUUAUGACAAAAAUUAUUUUUUUUAUGGUUAUUAUGAUAAAGAAUAUUUUAAAAAUAAUAUUAAAAUCACAAUACUAUUAAAACCUACAUGGAUUAAAAAUAAUUUUGAAACCACAGUCACCAACAAUGGUUUUUUACACUUAAAAAAAUCUAUAUGGAUGGUUACGUGGAUACAAAAGAUUAGUUUGACAAAUAUUUUGAGAUGGGUACUAUUUUUACCAUUUUUUUUUUAACAAUUGGAUUAUUUUGGACUUGGGUGAGAGGUGGUGUGAAUGGGGAAGGGUGGGAAAAAGAAAAAAAGAAAAGAAAAGAAAAGGGAGAAAAAGGAGCAGAGAAGAGAGAGAGGGGGGCGAGUGGGAGAGUGGGCUCCCUCCAUCAAGUGUCUCCCCAUCAUGUAAAUGGUUAAGCAGGUGCAAAUGGAAUUAUGACCAAACAAAGAAAAUUCAAUUUUUUAUUUUUAAAUUCAAAAUCCUCUAGGAAUUAGAAGUACAAUUAUUUGGAAAAUAUAUGGGAAUGACUACCGCGAUUGAGGUGAUGUACAAAAGAUAAAUUAUUAAUUUUAACCUCUAUCACAAGCAAGAUUUAAAAUAUUUGUAAAUACGAAUAUAUAUAUAUAUAUAUAUAUAUAUAUAUAUAUAUAUAUAUAUAUAUAUAUAGUAUACCACCAGUCGUCUAAGUACGGGUGGAAUAGCUCAUUGUGGAGGGUGCAGAACGUGGCAGGGGCAUUGGUGAGUCCAAAAGGCAUAACCAAAUCAAACGGACGUUGUUCCGGUUCGUCUCCAUUUUUGUGAAACUAUUUCUCAAGCAAGGCAGCCGAUAAGUCAUCGAAGGGUUUGUGUGAAUAAUAGAAUGGUAAGCAUUACUCAUUUGAAAGUGUCCCGAUUUUUUCUGAUUCUAAUCAAAAUCCAUUUUUUGGACAUAAUAAGAAUUUUUAUUCUCAAAUGAUAUCAGAGGGAUUUGGAGUCAUAGUGGAAAUUCCAUUUUCCCUACGAUUAGUCUCUUCUCUAGAAGGUAAAGAAAUAGCAAAAUCUCAUAAUUUACGAUCAAUUCAUUCAAUAUUUCCUUUUUUAGAGGACAAAUUCCCACAUUUUAAGUAUGUGUCAGAUAUACUAAUACCCCACCCCAUCCAUCUGGAAAUCUUGGUUCAAGCCCUUUGUUACUGGGUGAAAGAUGCCUCUUCUUUGCAUUUAUUACGAUUCUUUCUACACGAGUAUCAUAAUUGGAAUAGUAUGAUUACUCCAAAGAAAUCCAUUUCCAUUUUUUCAAAAAGGAAUCAAAGAUUUUUCUUAUUCCUAUAUAAUUUUCAUCGUAGAGCACCCUGAUUUACAAUCAGCCUGAUCUACGAGCACUUCUGAUCAAAGAUCAGCCUAAUCUAUGACCACCCUUUCCCCUUUCUCUAAUAAUAAGGGCGUUAAGCAUAGCUCCAACCUAUACAAGGGGCAAGCCAAAACCAGCGGAAGGCUUGGCUUGAAAGCUUACCUUUUUAUUAUUCAAAGGGGAGCUUCUUCUUUUUAUUAUUCUAAUUUUUAUACUAAAAAACAAGGUGCUUAACGCCCUACUCCCCAACAACUACAAGGGUGCUUGCUUGCUGGCAUCAAAGCCCUUCAUUAUUAUUAGUAAGAUGGGGCGGAGGGCGCACAACCCCUUCUCUGCUCCUUUCCUGAGCCUUUCCCUGAUCUACGACCACCCUGCCUGUCCUUCUCUAUUUUGAGGGAUCCCUCAUAUUGAGGAUUCCAGGCUUCCCGGACUCAUAACAGACGGCUAGGAACAAAAAGAGGGUCAAUAGUCUCUGCCGUUGCAGGUCCUUCUUCUUCCGCUGAGACGACCCUUUUUCUUUUUUGUUUUGUUUGUUCACCGCGGCACGAAAGAAUGAAGGCAAGGUCUGUAGGAAAUGGCGUAACCCCACUCUAAAAGUAGUUCGAUUCCCCUCGGGGAGGUUGAAAAAGCCCUUCACAAGAGGAGCAAAAAUAAGAAGAAUUGUCAAGGUUGUCGGCAUUUCCGCACCCGGCUCAGCUCAAGGUGUAAUCCAAGCAAAGUGAGAAGAGCAGGCGAAAGCAAGGGAGGAUCCCCAGUGACAUCCUCAAGUCAACGAGUUAGGAGCUCAUACCGGGUAGGAAAGCAGGGAAUAGAAGAAGUUGCAAUUGCUCCUGCUGGAGAAUCUGGUCUUUGAGAAGGAGCUGCAUGUGCUCUUGUUCGAGAAUCCGCAUCCCGUCGAAUCAGCUGUGAGGGUGAAAAGGGUUUACGACGAAUAGGCUCUUUGAUGGGGCAUUAUCGGGUAACUAGAAAUUUCAUAAGAGAAGAGAGAUGGGAUCGUAGGUCGGAUCGUAGGGUAGAUUCAGUCCCUCCCAGUGGAUUGCUUUUGUACGUCUCUUUAUUCAUUGAGAUUGGGUUUGUGUUCAUUGUACUUCCGUAGAGUACAAGAUCGAAAAUCAAAGAAUUUGGUUCACUGUCUUUCUUCAUUCAAGUAAGAUAGUUGAUCAAGAUACCUCCGUGUAAAGACAGGAACUCAUAAAACAACGUUGCCAAAUACUAAACUAACGUGCCAUAAGGCCUUUUAUUAGCGAUUUAACGCGUGUUAAAGUUGCCUGAUGUUAUAAGGUACUUGAAGCUCUCUUAUGAGCUUCUUAACACCCCGAAUCCUCAUUCUAAGGGCUAUUCUCAUCGCUACAACAACAGUUCUAUCACUAUAGGUAGUAGAGUACCUAUAAGAAACAACAUGCGAUUAAAGGCUGUUUUACGAUGACUAUUGCCUUUAAGGAGUUAUAGGUAAAUAACUCAAACAACUAAUGCAUAUUUAUUAAGGUCAAGUCCUUACUCUAUUCCUUCCUAAAGUCAGGAAUUGUGGACUUUGAUUUAUACUAUUUUGCUACUAUUCAAUGGUUAAGUCCUUAUUCUAUUCCUUCCUAAAGUCAGGAAUAGCGGACUUAGAUUUAUACGAUUAACUAUAUGAUUAAAGUCAAGUCCUUAUUCUAUUCCUUCCUCGUAGUCAGGAAUAGCGGACUUGCUUCUUACUCCUAUGCAUUUCAAAAGCUGAAGACCAGUAAGCAGCUGAAAAGCCGUUGCGCGCUAGCGCGCGCAACUUGGUAUUAAUUAGUUUUUCAGCUCCUCAAGGCAAGUCAGUUGCGUGGGUAAAGAUGGGCGAGAUGCGUAGGUAGAUGAGCCAUAUGCACAGGUAGAAGAGCCAUAUGCGUAGGUAUGGGCGAUAUGUGCAGUAGGUUGUUAUAUGUGACACUGCCUUAGUCUCGAAGACCUACUCUCCCCUCGCUAUUCAGAGCAAGAUGCGCAUAGCGAGACUGAAUCAUUCUUAGGAAAGCGUUCAAGUUGCUAAUUUUUUGGAAAAUAUAUGGGAAUGACUACCGCGAUUGAGGUGAGGUGCGAAAGAUAAAUUAUUAAUUUUAACCUCUAUCACAAGCAAGAUUUAAAAUAUUUGUAAAUACGAAUAUAUAUAUAUAUAUAUCAGUAUUUGAAUUUUACAAAUGUAGUGGAAAUAUCAAAUGAAUAUCACUUCAAAUAAUAAUAAAAUAUAUAAAAAUAUAUAUAUUAAAUUUAUUUUUUGAUAUAGGUAUGGUUAAAGAGAAAAAUAUCAAAUAAGCAAAGAUUUGUCGGUAUUAAUAAUUUAUUAUUUAUCUAAUCAAAUUAAUUUUAAUUUAUAAAAUACUUGAACUUUUUUUAUAUUUUAGUAUUUUUUGAGUAAAUUUAAAUUUUUAAAUAUUUUAAAAUAAAACAUUCAAAAUUUAAAUAAAAUUAAAAUAAUCAAUAUAAAAAUUUAAAAGUGAAGUGAAUGAUGAUGCAUAAAUGAAUUUUUAAUAUUUAUAUUUUUAAUAUUUAAUUAUCAUAUAAUUGAUAUUAAAAAAUACUUGUUAAGAAAAUUAUAACGUGGUUGUUAAAUGUUUAUUAAUUAAUUUAUUUAUUUUUUAAUAAUAAACUUUAAGAUAUUUAUUAUGUACAUCUAUUAACAAAUAGAGAAAUGGUUUAAUGGUAACCAAAUUUGAACCUAAACCUUUUGGUCUGGGUUCGAAUCUUAACAGUAGCAAAUUAGUGAUUUUUUUUCCCACACUCAAUUUUUUUCGUCGAUAUUUCACCCCCAAACUGAUAUAUUGUUGAUAUUUCAGUGAUAUUAUCGAAAUUUUUUCAAAAUUCCCACUGAUCGAUAAUUGCUGUCCAAUAUCGUGUUGGACACCAUCGAUAUUUGAUAUGUCGGUGAUAUUUUACCAAAAAAAACCGAAAUUUUAAUUCUUAAUCACAAGUCAAUCAUCAAGUCUUCUAACAUUAUUUAUUUAUUCAAAGAAUAACACAUAUAUACAUCUCAGUAUUUUGGGCAUUUGCUAUCCUCAAAAUAGGGAUUUAGAAAAAAAAAAAAAAUCCACCAAUUUUAAGAGCAUGUCUAAUAUCAUUUCUUAUGAUUUUCUAACUCUUUGCCAUUCAUUUUAUCACUCUUUUAUUUUGUGUCGUAGGUUUGAAUCCUACCUAAGAAUCUUUCAUCUAUCCUAGAUAUUAUUCAAUUAAAAAAAAAUUGAUAAUUUCUAAAUUUAUGAUAUUUUUAUACAUUAAAUCAAAGUUAUUUUUUAAAAAUAAUUUUAAUUUAAAUAUUAAAGUCAUAUUUUUUAAAAGUCAUGUAUAUUUAAAAGGGUAAAUUUUACUUAUUUUUCUUUUGUUUCAUGUUAAAUAUACUUAAUAAUUCAUUAAAAAUUAAUCAAAUUUAUCAAGGUAUGCAUAUGUCACAUAGGCUUGUUUUAUUAGAAGCUAUAUAUAUAUAUAUAUAUAUAUAUAUAUAUAUAUAUAUAUAUAUAUAUAUAUAUAUAUAUAUAUAUAUAUAUAUAUAUAUAUAUAUAUAUAUAUAUUUUAAAAAAUAAAAAAUAUCUAAACAUAGAGAGAGGAUUUCUACAAAAAUGGAAAGUCUUAUAGAGAGUGUGCACACACAUGUAUAGCAUUGAAUUAAAUUGUAUCCGUGCAAAUGAAUGUAUAUAUAUAUAGAGAUACACACAAAGAAACGUGUGUCCACGCUUUCUGUACUUCUUAAUAUAAUUUAUAUAUAAAAAUAGAUAUACCUCUAUAUAUAUAUAUAUACAAAAGAGGGACUUCUUAGAGAUAUAUUUUUUUUUUUAUAUAUAUAUAUACACUCUUACGCGUGUAUCUCACACUUCCGAGUGAAAUAUAUCUAUGUUAGAAAAACAAAAAAAANNNNNNNNNNNNNNNNNNNNNNNNNNNNNNNNNNNNNNNNNNNNNNNNNNNNNNNNNNNNNNNNNNNNNNNNNNNNNNNNNNNNNNNNNNNNNNNNNNNNUAUAUAUAUAUAUAUAUAUAUAUAUAUAUAUAUAUAUAUAUAUAUAUAUAUAUAUAUAUAUAUAUAUAUAUAUAUAUAUAUAUAUAUAUAUAUAUAUUUUAGGAAAUGAAUAAAAUCUUAACAUAAUGAGAGGAAUUCUACCAAAAUGGGAAGCCUUGAAUAGAGUCUGCACAAACAUGGGUAGCAUUGAAUUGAAUUGAAUCCUUGCAAUUGAAUGGAAUUACUUGUAGUGAUCUUCACAAUGCAACGUUAGUCCAGGCUUUCGGUACUUCUUAGCAUAAAUUUCAUAUCAUAAUUGAAAUACCAUUCUAGGCAAUUCUAUACAACAAUGGGACUUCUUUGGAAGAUACUUUUUUUUUUUAAUAGAUUUAUAAACUCUUAAUCGUGGAUUUCAUACUUCCUAGUGUAACUUAUCUAUGUUUUAGAAACAUAAGAAGACUAACAAUUUUUCAUCAAAUGAGAAACAAGUUUUAUUUAAAUAAAUUUAUUAAAAAAUAUCAAAUAUCAAAUUUAUCCCUAUUUUUAUUAAAAAUAUUUUAAAAUCAUAUAAUUUAAAAUCUAUCACACAAGAAGAGUAACUAAAAAUAGAAGUUAAAAGUAAGGAUAAUAAUGAGACGGAUUUUUUUGGAUAUCAACUUUAUUCCUAAUGAGAGGAGUUUGAAAUUUAAUUAAACGAGUUAGGAGUGAGUUUGAUUUUUUUUUUUUUAAACCCUGGAUAGGUUUGAAGUGGGUUUUGGUAUUGUCUUUUCUCUCGAAUUUUUCAAAAACCAAACAUAGUCUAAGACUAUGUUUCCUUUUUGAAAAAUUUGAGAAAAAAUGCAAAGAAAAAAAAAUAAAAUAGAAAAAAUAGGAGAAAAAAAAAAUAUGAAGGAACAUAAAAAAAAUGAAUUUAAGGUCAAUAAAUUAUUUUUAUACUCUACUUUAAGCUCAUUAGAUUUAUUUUAACUAUUGGAUAUACAAAUUAAAUAAUUUAAAUAUACCUAAGUUUUUAACUAAUUUCAAUUAUAUUUAAUUUUUUUAUUUUUCAUAAUACAAUCAAAUAUGAAAUUUUUUUUUUUUUUUUUCCCUUUCCCAUGCUUCUCAUGAACUAUACUAAACAUAAUGUAAAGAACUUUUUUUAGUAGAUGGAAAGAAGAAAAAGAUAAUAAUAAUAAUAAAAAGUUCACAUUUAAUAGAUUUUUUUCAUAUUUAUUUUCUAAUCAACAAGAAAAGUUUAAAAAGUUUUAAAUGAAUAUCUUUCUAUUCUGAAUUUGGUCAAAAAUAAAAAGUUAGAAGUACCUUUUUAUUAAGUUGGUGAUGAUCCAAAGAAAUGACGGCUCAAGAACUACAUUCAAAAUUGUAGUGACUUAAAGCUUUGUUUGGUUAAAAAAAAUAGAAGGAAUAGAAAAUAGAGAGAAAAAGUAAAAAAAAUUAUAUAUAUAUAUAUAUAUAUAUAUAUAUAUAUAUAUAUAUAAUUUGUUGAUCACAAGGAGUGAUGUUUUCAACAGGAUUAACAAAUUCAAAAAGAAUUUCCCUAUCAAAAAGCUUUGUUCUUAUACCUUGAUUAUCUACCCACAAGGGAUAAAUAGAGCUUAAGAAGGGUAUUCCUAGGAGGGCUUACAUGUUGAGAGAGAAAGAAGAGAGAAGGGAGAGUAUAAGCUUGGGAGAGAUUUCAAAUCUAAAAUUCUAGGUGCUUACAAAUGAGGAUCAAGCCUCCUUAAAUAGCCAAAAAGAGGGGACAAAACACUGUUUGCCUUUUGACUAACUGCCAUGAAUAGUAAUCUCGUGCAUGAAUAGUGAAUAGUGAAAUUCACUUUUCCACCGAAUACCACCGAAAAACCCACUUUCGGCUGAGAAGACUUCUGACAGGCUGCUUUAGACUGUGUAGUCACAUGCUUGCUGCUUUUGGUGCUGAAAUUGCAAAGCUGUAAAAUAUUCUUGUUGGAAGACAUAAGGCUGAUGAUUACUUAGAUAUUCUUAUUGGAGGAAGGAUUCCUUCACAGUCGUCACCAUUGUCUGGAAGGUAGCUCGUUGAAUCAUCAGAUUCUGCAUAAGAAUUUUCUUGGGAAAAGCUUGUAACUGUUGCUUUUUGAGGAGAAACUGAGACAUAUCAUCAUUGGCUAAGACUUGUGUGGGGUUCUUGAGGAAAUACUGCUUAACUGCAUCAAUAGAUGCAUCAUUUUUCAAGGCAUCCCACCAUUUAGUUUUAAAAGUCCUUCCCAGAGAUGGAAAGACUGUUGAUUCAUCUGUAAUGAUAAUAUAGUCCCACUGGACUAUCCAAGCAAGGCCAAAUUUGCUGAAAAAGAAUAGUAAAGGGGGAAAAGCUAAAAGUUCUCUGGGGAUAUCAAAAGAACUUCUGAAUAGCUCAAAGCCAUCCAGGAUGGGCUUAGGAAGAAUCUUAAUAGUCGGACCAUAAUAAGUCCACCAAUUGUAGAACCAAAAUGGGAAAGAGGAAAGCUGAUUCUUAUAUGGAAAAUAGGAUAUCCAUGAAUGAUGGAAGUCCCUAUUCUGGAUCAGAAAAGCAUUAAACCAUGCUCUCUGAUAAUCUCAAUAAUUAAAAAACCUUGGCUUUGAUGGUUCAGAAAAUUCCCUUGAAAGAUUAGGAUUUCCACCCCAUUGCUUGACAGUAAGAAUCUUAUAGAUAUGGCAGGUGGAGAAUGCCAAGCCCAUAUUGCUGAAUUUAUCAGCGUUAUGCUUAAUUUUAACAGAACCAGUUUCUGUAAGGACUGCUUCAUAAAACUCUCUUGUUUUUAAAAUAUCACCAGAGGGAUAAUGAAAAUUUUCUUGAAAAGCUUUUGCAGCAAUCUCUCUGGGGUUUUCAGAGAAAAAUUCUCUUUCAAUAACCAAAAGAGGUUGAUUUAAAUCAUUUUGCCAAUAUCUUGAUUUUGUUGAAAGAGGUGUGGGGUUGGCAGCCACCAUAAUUUGCUUGUUUGAAAAAGAGGAGCUUGAUGCUAAUUCCUUUUGAGAGGGAUUAGCCUUAGUGACUUGCUUGAAGGUCUGGGACCUUGAAAUGGCUGGGUACUGGGUGGCCUUGACUGGAUUAGUUGGAUCAGAAUGAUCAUAGUACAAGGUCAUCAUCUUGUUAGGCAUAGGGUUAGAAGAAUGAAGCCUUGCUGAGCCCUGCCGGUUGAGCCGUGGAUAGGCGUUUGUUAGGCUGUAAAAGGGUUGGGGUGACGUCUCAUAAGGUUUGUCAAUCUGCUAUUAGGCUCUAGAUCAAAACCCUAAAAUGAGUUCAAUUUUCAGAACCAUGUCUAGGAGAUCCAGUGAUUCUUAAGAUGCUGUUGUAAACAGUGAAGAAAUCAAUUAUCCUAAGAUCCAAAAUGAUUUAGAUGAUUGGAAGUUACCCAAGGUGUCUAAUCAAGAAAUUUAUAAGAAAGGAACCUUUAAGUUCUUCACAGAUUAUACCAUCAAGACCUCUGAAAUGACAGUCAACUUAGAGCAAGACGACCAAGUCAUAAGACUUCUAGAUAACAGAUCCAUUGAAAAGCAUAAGAAAGAUGGCUAUAACUUCAUACACUUUGGUAUGAUUCAAGUAGCAGCUAAGCCUUUGACAAGAUUAGGUUUAAACACCUCUAUUGACAAGAUUAGGUUUAAACACUUUGGUAUGAUUCGAGAUUCUAUUAUAGGCGCAGUCCAAGCUGGACUGAAUGAUGGCCCAGUUUAUUUCCAGUGUUAUCCUAACUUCACAGUUAGAAUAAGAGAUGCAGACAUCUUAGAUUCUAUUGUCCUGCAUAUUAAGACCCAUGACUUUAAGAUCAAACUAGGAAACAGUCCUGUUUCUAUUAUAACCAGGUUUGCCUACAAGAGCAUGAACACAAGCGUUGGAUUUGGGGCUCUUUGCACCAGUCCUAAGAGUGAGACCACUUACUUUCACUCAGAUAUGCUAGAUAAGUCAAAUUUCAUCAUCCCUAAGAAGAUCUUGUGGAAAGAUGUUGAGUUUCCUGAAAAUUGGCAUUUUGCUAAUGUUGUUCCAACCAUUGCACUGCGAUCUGAAAGCAUUAAACAAAUUGAUCAAUAUCCUGAUGGAGGAGGAGAACUGGUUUUCUCCAACUCUUUCAGACAUUCUAGCAGCCCUAGAGUUUCAGUUUAUGAACCCUCUAAAGCUUCAAGCUCUUCUAUCCCAUUUAGAACCUCUAAGGAAGAAAAUAGUUCCAGCUCAGGAAAUCCUAAGAAUAUUAAGCUAACAGGUGUUAGAAGUCACACCAACAUGGCUAGACCAUUUUACACAGAGGAAAAUGAGUCUACUCAGGAAUCCCAAUAGGAUGAGUCCCCUGUUAUGUCUCCUACCUAUUCCCAGAUGAUUAAUACUAUAAGCCUAAGUGAUGAGGACUUUGAGAUCAACAAGGAUCUCUUAAGAAAGGACUUCUAUUCUGAAGUCAAUAAGCAAAGAAAUGAUUGGUUCUUUAACACUAUCCCUAAAGUCAUUAGAGCCAUUUACCAAGAAGAAUUCUAUGCCUACUUAGGACAAGAAAAGAAAAAUAUUAAGUUUUGGAUUUGGUUUGAACUCUUCAAACAAGAGGAAUAUCUGGAUUAUCCUUAUAAGCGUGAGAGCACUGAUAAAAUUAAGUCUUUCGAAUUUUCUAAGGAAUUUUAGGAAAAUCCCUAAAUCAACCAGACUUUUGUUAAUAGGAUUAAUCAGAAGAUUAAGGAUAGUCUUGUUGCCCCCUUGACUGUCCAGCCUCAUAAGAGAAUCAAUAUGGUUAAAGGUGAUAUUAGUUCAGAAGAAGAAGUUGAUGAACUAAUUAAGAUGUUUGAGGAACCCCAUAAUCAAAUUAUUUCAAAAGAUAUUAACAACUUGGAAGCCUUUAAGACUAGGAAUUACUAUCCUAGACCUACAUUUCCUGACAUGCAGUUUGAGGAAAGAAAUCAGUAUACUCAAGCCUCAUACACCAGUGGCACUAUCUAUGAAUGGAACAUAGACGGUAUGAUCGAGUAUAACAUACUCACUAAGCUUCAAGAAAUGACCAUGGUAAGUACAACCUAUAAAUUAAACAAUAGACUGCCAGAUCAUGCUGUAGCUCAGACCAUGGUUGCUGGGUUUACAGGUCAGCUUAAGGGUUGGUGGGAUAAUUAUCUCACUUUUGAUGAUAGAAAUAGUAUCCUAAAAGCCUAUAGGAUUAAUGAGAAUAGUGAAGUUGUUAAGGACGAAGAUGGCCAAGAUAUAGAGGAUGCAGUGGCUACUCUAAUCUACUCAAUAUCCAAGCACUUUAUUGGAGAUCCUGCAAAAAUUAAAGAUAAAACUGCAGAUCUCUUAACCAACCUGAAGUGUCCCAAGCUUCAUGAUUUUAGGUGGUAUAAGGAAGUCUUCCUAACCAAAGUCAUGCUAAGAUCAGAUUGUAACCAGUCUUUUUGGAAAGAAAAAUUCAUCUCAGGAUUACCCAAGCUUUUCUCUGAGAGAAUUAGGAUUAAGAUAAGUGAACAGUAUAAUGGUCAAAUCCCUUAUGAUAAGCUAACCUAUGGUGAGAUUAUAAGCAUUGUCACAACUGAAGGGAUUAAGUUGUGCAAUGACUUCAAGCUUAAGCAACAAAUGAAGAAUGAACAAAAAAUCUACAAGAAUGAAUUUGGAUCAUUCUAUAGCCAGUUUGGUUUCAGCCAAAAGGAAACUAUGCCUCCCUCUAAGCAAAAGCCAAGCAGGAAGCCUAGCAAAGAUAAGUUCUACCACAGUAAGAGAGGUACCUAUGACAACUAUAGGAUGAAUGAUACUAAGCAGUCAAGACACGUCCAAAGAAGGGUCAACAAAGAUACCCAGAAAAAGGUAGAAACUCCUUUAGAUGUCAAGCCAAUUAUCUGUUUUAAAUGUGGCAAAGUUGGCCAUUAUAAAAAAGAUUGUAGAGUUAAGCAAAAGAUUAAUAACUUAAGUGUCUCAGAUGACCUAAAAAAUAUGUUUUGUAAGGUAAUGUUAAACUCCAUAGAUUCUGAAUCAAGGACUGAUUCAAAUAAUGAAGAUGACAUUAAUCAACUAGACAUUAGUAGUGAAAUUUCUAGCCAAUCUUCUAGUGACCAAGCAGAAUGUAUUAAAGUCAAUAUAUAAAAGAUAAAAUAAUUUAAUAAUAUAUAAAUUUUUAAUUAAUUUUAAUUAUAUUUAUUUAUUAUUUUUUUUUUUUAUGGAACUACUAAAUUUGAGAAAACAAUUUUUUUAAUAAUUUUAUUUUCUUUCCUUGUAUUUUCCAAAAUCAUAAACUUUUAGGAUAGUGCACGUACCUCAACCUCAUAGAAUUGAAUGAAUAAUUCUUCCAUAAUUCUACUGUAAUUUUCUUGGCGUCGAACCACCAACUUGGCAAGUUCACUCACCUCACAACAAAAUAGAAGUCACAACUUGGCAACUUGGUAAGAAGAUAUUUCAUGUUUGAAUUGACAGCCGUACUUAUUGACUUUGCAAGCUCUUGCUUGUGGAGAAGUCGCAAGGAAUCUUGUCAAUUGUAAUAGAAAUUCUGUAGAUUUUUUGCAUGUCUGUCUGGUAAAUACAGGCCUGGGAACUCCUUUCAUAUCCGCCUUGGAGCUCAGGACUAGUUCCUUUCAGUGGAAGAGACAUUAUUUUCUUAUCUGUCGUGAUAGUAAUUGAGGAAGACUUUUGUAGAGUUUCGUUUUUUUCGAUGGACCCUAAAAAACAAUUAAGAGUGGUGGGAUCACUCUUAUUUAUUAUGGUAGUGAUUGAGAAGGCCCUCGGAAGACUCAAAGACAUGUCAUUGAUAUAAAAUCCAUUCAUUUUUAAUAAAUUUUCAAUCUUCAAUUUAUAUUUCAAUAACUUAAAAUUUACAUGUUAAAUAAUUGCUAACAUCACCUUAUUAAAAAGGGUUACAAAUAAAAUAAAAUACAUAAAUACUUUUAUAUUUUUAAAUUAAAGAACAUAAUUAUUGUUUUCACAAAAGAAACUCAAAAUAUUAUUUUUUUAAUCCAAAAUUAGAUAAAAUUACAGGCUUUAAUAGGUUCCGUAAUUGUUGUAUUUGGAACCAAAGGGUGAAGAUUUAUCACAAAUAUAAAUGUCCCAAAAUUGUAGAAGUAAUGAGUGAAGUUUAAAUAAAUAAAAGGUAUAUAUGAUUCAUAUGAACUUCUUAAUCACUCAAAAAAUGGCAAAUUACUAAUGAUGUUUAAAAAAAUAAAAGAAUGUUAAUCUCUUAAUUAAUGUAUUAAUAUUCAUAAUAAUAAAAGAAAUAUAACCAACAAAAAACCUUAAAUAAUAUAUUAAUUAUCAUAGCAAAUUCUUCUUAAUAUAUUAAUUAUCAAAGAAAAACUCUUAUCGAUUUCUUUGAUCAUUUCAUACAUUAGUCUAAAUUUUGAAAGAAAAAAAAAAUCUUCAUAACACAUUUUAAAUAAGUUAUUUAAAAAUUAUUUCAACCAUUAAAAAAAAGUAAAGUUAAGAAGAAAAAAAAAUAUUAGAUAAUGGUGUAUAAAAUAAAUUGAAGAAAAUAGUUAAAAAGUGAAGAGAGAGUAAAUAGAUAUUACAAAAGUGAAAAUUGUAACAUAGUAUGUGCCAUGACGAAAGACGAUAAUAAUUGGGUGUCUUAUCACCGAACACGCCGUUCAGUUUUUAGUUUUCAUAUUAACAAUAAAUAUGAAGAUAAUACGAAUUAAUUAAUAUAAUAAUUUUAAAAUUUUAAAAUAAUAAAAUGCAUAGAUAUGUAAAUUAAAUAUAAUUUUUUUUUUUAUAUUUAAAUAUUAUAUAAAUUUUAUUUAAUAAAAUUUGAUAUAUUAAUAUAUAUAUAUAUAUAUAUAUAUAUAUAUAUAUAUAUAUUUAUAAUUUAAAUAUAAAUUAUAUAUUUAUGAUAUGAGGUUUGAUAGAGUCCGAUUACCGACAAUAUUGACAAUAAUCACACAAAGAAAGUUGCAUUUUUUUAUUUUUUAUUUGUUCUCGCGGAGUUUGAGCCACUUGGUGCAGCGGAAAAUAUACGGGGGCGACUUGACCUUGCACGGUGACUGAGGUGGGAAAGCUUAACUAUUUUCCAAGUUUUCUGGGUAAAAUAAUUUAUAUUUCUUAAUUCCAGUCACUAAUGCUGGUAAGGAAAACGAGGAGACCAAUGGAAAUGUUAGUUGUUCUUGCUGGAUUUUUAGCUCUCACUGCUACGGUUGAUGGCCAGGAUCAAUCAGGUGCGCAUAUCUCUCUCAAAUCUCAUGGUUCCCUGCCAUCUCUCUCUCCCAGAUCUCUCAUAUACUGUACUGUGUAUCUCCAGGAUUAGUUCCUUUUCUUGGAAUAGACAUUAUUUUCCUUUUUGUUUCUGUAAAUAGAUUUUCCUUUUUCCUUUAAUUGUUUUAGCUGAUACUAAUAGACGCUAAAUUUUAAUUGCAAGAUCCUCUACCAUGGCAGAGCCCUUUCAUGACAAUGGAGAUUAUUGCAAUAUUUAUCACUUUUUUUUUUUGAGAUUUGCUUUUAAAUUUUUUUGAUGGUUUGUGGGUUAUUUUUAUCUUUCAAUGGGUCAUACUAUAACAUUUUAGUUCAUCCAAAUCUUAAACUUUAAGCAAUUUGUUAGUACAUAUUUUAUUCUUCGUAUUGUUCUUUCUCAAGCUUGUUUUACUCUAGUUUAAAGUUUGUUUGUUUCGUUGGACAUGUUUAAUUACAAAUAACUAUAUUAAAUUACAAAUAAAUAAACUAAAUAAUAAGUAUAAAUCUCCAUUUGGAAAACUUGAAAAUAACAUGAAAAAUAAAUUAAUUAAGUUAAUGUUAGUUACUAUUUUUAAGGAUGAUAAUAGAACGAGUUUUUUUUUCUACCCACCUUGCCUCAUUUGAUCCUAAUAAAAUAGGUUUGGCAUGAAGAUAAACGAGUCAAGAAUGGUUGAGGACGAAUUUGGGUAUUGUCUUGUCUUAUCCUCAUAGGGAUUUUCGUUGAUCUAGUUUUCUUUUUUUAUUGCCAUUAACAACCAUAAAUCCUGCCUUAUCUUAUAUAUAUAUAUAUAUAUAUAUAUAUAUAUAUAUAUAUAUAUAUAUAUAUAAAAUUAAAUUUUAAAAUAGUUUAAUUUAUUUUUUAUUUUAUUUUUUUUCCUUUUUAACACAUACCAAAUAAAAAAAAAAUCUACUUCUCAAAUAAAAUAAGUUAUAAUAAUUACAAUAUUUAUUUAUAAAAUAUAUUUAUUUUUAAUAUAAUUAAAAAAAAUUAAAACAAGAGGGUGGGGUGAAGAGAGCACGAGAAAUUCUCAUUUCCAUUCCAUAUCCUACCCCAUUUAAAUUUUUUAUUACGACAAGAAUGAACACAUGUUUAUAUAAAUGAGACAUAAUCAAGAUGGAGGUGAUCUAUCUUAUUGUCAUCCCUAAUUUUCUUUUAAUAUAAAAUGUCUUAAAAAAUAUGAUGAAUUCUUUGAUGUUGAUUGUGUAAAUUUGUUUUUAAAAGUCUAAGCACUAUAAAUAGAAAAAUAAAUAAUAGCUAAAGAUAUUAUUGUUUCCCAAAUGCAUGAAUUGUUCAUAUAUUAUUCUUGACUAUAACUAUCACAUUUUUCAAGAAACGAAGGUGCAAGGAUAUUAAUGAAUUUGGUCAGGAGUUUAGCAAUAGCUAUAUUAAUGUUUAAAUAUAAAUUUUUUUCCCUAAAUUUUUUAAUUCAAUUUUUUUUUUGUACUUAUGAUCUAAUACUCAAAAUUAGUUGAUUUUAUUUAUUUAUUUAUUUUUAAAUUAUUCCAUUUAGGGUGGCAGAGGAUUGAAGGUAUUGUGAUAUAUGCAUCUAAAAUUUGAAUUAAAAACAUGGGGAACUUUCCUCUAGUACAUGACACAAAGUAUUGACACUUUAUGUUAUUGCUUUUAAAAUGACAAUAAAUUGAAUAAACAUCUACUUCUAUUGUAUCUCUAUGCCACUAUUACCCCAAAAGACCACAUUGUACACCUCUAGUUGCCUUCUUUGCCUUCACAUCUCCCUAUUCUAAAAAUAUACCUAUAUACAUGACAAUCGUUCCUAAAUUUCACCUCGAUUUAUAUGAUAUUCAAAUAAUAUAUCAUUAGCUAUCCCUAGAGGGACCUUAUUGAAGGUUUGGUUAUAAUGCAUCAAAGGAUUUUUUUUUUUUUUCAACUUUUGAUCUAAUAUCUUUUUUGUUAAAAAAUUAAUCAUUACAUGCCCUCCAAAUGCAUCAACAUAAGUCAAAGAGGGAUGUUCGUCGAACCUUUAUCCUCCAUGUAAUCAAAUCCCGCAUCUUCUAGGUAGAAACUCCCUAGUUGACUAUGAAAAAAUCAACUGCAUUCCACAGCAAAACCCAAAGCUAUCAUUCGAUCGUGAAUUAAAAAGUGAUUUAUUGAUUUCUUAUGGACUUUUCAAAGGCUACACCUAUUCAUCAUGGACCACCCUCUUUUCAUAUAGGAAGGUUUACGGUUAAACUUUUCUCAUUUGUGUAUAACUUUGCAUGUUUUUCGUGAAUUAACAAUAUUAGUUUGAUAGAAAAUUUAGAAGUCAACCAUCUCUAAUUAAAUACUAGAUAUAAAAGUCAAUAAAAUGAACAAAAACUUAGAACCCACAUUUAUCAGCCAAGUGAUCAUAAAAAUCCUAGUUCAAUAUUGGUCAAAUCUUCAGGUCAUGCCAAAAAAUAAGUUAAAUGACAGCAAAGGAAACAUUGAAAUUGGAAAUUAUAAACAUCAGUUCAGUGUAAAAACUAGAAGUCAAUUUUUCUCUUUUUUGUUUUUUUUUUUUUUCUAACAACUUGUAGUGUUUAUUUUUGAAUUUAUGUGACAAAAGUUGAAAAUUGGUGUAGUUGACAAAAUAGAGAGCUACACUCGUACAAAUUAUGAAAUUGUCGACACAAAAAAUGAAAAAAAGUCAGAAACCAAAUGAAUUGAAUGAAAGCUUCAUGAUUGAUUAUGAAAGAAACCCAUGUAGUUGACUUCUAAGAAUUAACAAAAUAGCUAAGAAUUAAAGUCACUAGGAAACUAGCUAGAAAAUUGUUAAAGGUUCCAAGUCUGUAGAUUAUGUGGAGUUUUCUAUAUGAAGAAGUUGGUAGAGGUCUCUGAUCUCUUUAAUUUCUUACAUAACAUUGUAGAAACUUUCUUUUUCUAUUGAAAUGGGGGUCGGAUUAAUGGAGAUGUUACUGUUCUUUAUUGGUUGUUUAGCUCUUAAUACUCAUCUGGUUCAUGGGCAAGAUCAAUCAGGUAUCGUCUUUUUGUAUUUUUUUUUCCACAAUUUAUCACUAAAAUAGUAUGAAAAAAAGAUUAUGAUUAAGCUUCAUUGAAUUCCAAAUCUUUAGGGUUCAUAAGCAUUGACUGUGGCAUGGCUGAGGGCACAGACUAUAACGAUGCCACAACCAGCAUCCUCUACACCUCUGACGCUCAGUUCAUCGAUACCGGAACAAAUAAGAGCAUAUCUCCAGAUUUGGAGUCUGAAAAUCUUCCCAAGUACUUGUCCAGUGUUCGAGCUUUUCCAGAAGGACUCAAAAAUUGUUACACCUUCAAACUUGUCCAAGGCAACAAGUAUUUGAUCAGGUCUGUCUUCAUGUAUGGCAACUAUGACUCCAAAAAUCAGGCCCCUGAAUUCGGACUGUAUCUCAACGCGGAUGAAUGGGACUCGGUGAAAUUGGAGAAUUCAAGUGAUGUUGUAGUCAAGGAGAUCAUACAUGUUCAGGAAACCAAUUAUUCGCAUGUUUGUCUGGUGAAUACUGGCUUGGGAACACCUUUCAUUUCAGCUUUGGAGCUAAGGCUGCUGAAUAGUACCAUAUAUAAAACUCAGUCUGCUUCAUUAGUCCUCGCCACGAGGCUUGAUAUCGGUUCCACGAGCAAUGAUACAAUCAGGUGAGGCCAUUUUGGCGCUAACAAUGAAUAUUUAGUUGAUUAAACUCAUAAAAAUUUAAUAUAACUUCUUGGAUAGGUUUAAGGAUGAUGACUACGAUCGCAUAUGGAAGCCAUAUACCUCUUCUAGUUGGGAAUUAGUGAGCUUGAGGUAUGCCAGUGACCUGUUGAGCGCCAAUCCUUUUAUCCUACCACCAAGAGUGAUGACGACAGCAGUUACGCCUAAAAAUGGAAGCAGAUCCUUGGAACUGCAGUAUGAUCCAGACGAUGCUACUAAGCAAUUUUAUGUGUAUAUGCAUUUUGCUGAGGUUGAGGAGCUUGGAGAUGGUGGAUAUAGGAAUUUUACUAUAUUACUGAAUGGGGAUUUCUGGUACGGGCCUAUGUCUGUCCAGUACCUCAGUCCUGUGACUGUGUAUAGCCAAUAUACGGUAAGUGGAACUUCCCUAGAGCUUUCGUUAGUUCAGGCAAAUGAUUCCAAGUUUCCACCAAUUCUCAAUGCCGUGGAGCUUUAUUGGGUGAAGGAGUUCCUUCAGUCACCAACUGAACAAAGUGAUGGUGAGUUUGUAACUUUUUAUACAUAUUUGAACUAUAACUCAAUUGUAAUAACCCGUUUUUAAUUUUGUAGAUAUUGUGUGCUUUGGUCUCAUACUUCAUGUAGAUAUUGUUUGCUUUAUACCAUCAUGAUUUUAAAACACAUCUAUAUAAUUAAAAAGAGCUCAUACAUAUAUAUAAUGUGUGGUUAAGAGGAGCCUAGGGCCCCUUGGACCCUCAUGGUUGCCAUUCUAGGUCUAUAGGCCCUCACGAGUACUUUGGCCCUAGGUCCUUGGGUCCUUGUGGCUUCCACUUUGGGUCCCUGGACCCUCAUGACUGUAAAAACACGUGUACAUAGUUAAAAUGAGCUUAUAUAUAUAGAGUCGAUGAUUAACUCUAAUACCACUUAUAAUAGUAUGCUUCUAAUUGUGUAGAUAUUGUGCUUUGAAAAGAAUUAGCUCUAAUACCAUUUAUAUAUUAGUAUGUUUCCAAUCAUGUAGAUACUGUUGGCUUUUAAAGGAACUUUCAUGACUUUAAAACACGUGUAUAUGGUUAAAAAAGUUCAUACAUAUAUAACAUCAUAAACUUUUUUUUUCUCUAUGUGAGAUAUCAUCUCAACCAGUAUUGAUAUCAACCAAUACUAAUGAUUUAUGCCUUUAGUAUUCCUUUUAGUUGUUUUCAUAUGAAAGAGAAUUUGUCUUACAUUUUUAGAAUUGUAGUUGAAGCUAUCAGGAACGUAAAGUCAGUGUAUGGAGUGAAGAGGAACUGGCAAGGUGAUCCUUGUGCUCCAAAAAAGCACUUGUGGGAUGGCCUUGAGUGCAGCUACAAUGGUUACAAUUCCCCCAGGAUCAUCUCUCUCUGAGUUUUCUACCUGGAAAAACAAGCUAAUUUGAUGGACUAAUGUGAAUUAUUGAAUUUUCUUCUUAAUGAAUAUCAUUCUAAUCUGUGUCUAGGGACCUGUCUUCAAGUGGGUUGUCCGGGAAAAUAGACUCUUCACUGUCCAAUCUCGAAUCCUUACAGUACUUGUAAGUAUAAAGUAAUACAAUGAAAAUCAAAUAUAACAUCUGUGAACUCCAUUUUUCAACACUUUCUCUAACUGUACUAGUUAUUUCAUUACAGAGAUUUAUCAAACAAUAGUCUAACUGGAGAAGUGCCAGAUUUUCUCAGCCAACUGCCUCUAUUGAAGACCCUGUAAGUUAAUGAGAUUCAUUUUUUCGACAUAAUGUAAGUAUUUUUUUGGCAAACAUAUAGAGAAGGGGACUGAAUCCUAUGUGGCUUUGCAGAAACUUAUCAGGAAAUGAAUUCACAGGUUCAGUUCCAUCACUUCUUAUCCAAAGAUCCAAAAAUGGAUCCCUCUCUUUGAGGUUUGCUUGACAAACCGACCAAAUUCAAGUUUUAGACCAUCUUGAUUCAGUUGAAUGUUGCUAAAAUUUUCCAUUUGGUGCUAGCGUGGAUGGCAAUCCAAAUCUUUGUGUAAUGGCCUCAUGCAACAACAAGAAGAGUGUCGUUAUACCUGUAAUUGCAUCUAUUGCUGUAGUUUUAGUGCUUCUGAUCGCAUUCCUCAUCUUGUGGGGCUUAAAAAGAAGACGACAACAACGGCAAGGUAUUGAUAUCUAUUUAAGAAAUGAUUUUGGAAUGAUCAUCAAAAAAUGCUUGUUUAGUUAUAUAACAAUUGUUUUAUCUCUGUGCAUAGUCCUUGAAUCCAAAGCCAAUUAUGAAGAAGAUGGAAGAUUGGAGUCAAAGAAUCUGCAAUUUACAUAUUCUGAACUUGUAAACAUUACCAACAACUUCCAAAAAGUACUUGGGAAAGGAGGAUUUGGAUCAGUUUACGGUGGCUACUUGAACGAUGGCACUCAAGUUGCUGUGAAGAUGCUAUCAGAACAAUCAGCUCAAGGGUUUAAGGAGUUCCGCUCAGAGGCAAGCGCAUAUCUUCAUCAUCUAUGAAAAAUUAUAGGAAAUUUUCCAAUUUGGCUUGGAUCUGAGUAAACCCAUUUGCAUUACAGGCUCAGCUGUUGACAAAAGUUCAUCAUCGGAACUUGGCUCCCCUAAUUGGAUACUGUAAUGAAGGACGAUACAAGGGGAUUGUGUAUGAGUAUAUGGCUAAUGGAAACUUGCGAGAACAUUUGUCAGGUAUGAAUUGAAUUUCUUUUGCCUUCUUAUGUUGUCUUCCUAUGGAGUUAUAUAUAUAUAUAUAUUGUAUAUGAGUAUAUGGCUAAUGGAAACUUGCGAGGACAUUUGUCCGGUAUGAAUUGAAUUUCUUUUGCCUUCUUAUGUUGUCUUCCUAUGUAGUUAUAUAGAUAUAAAAUCGUAAAAGUUUUUGGGACCAGAACAGACAAUAUCUAUAUGAGAGGGAGUAAUUGUUCCAUCAAUUCUGAUUUUGUAUGUAAUUUUUCUGUUAUAGGUGCAGGAAAGGACACUCCGGUCUUGAGUUGGGAACAAAGGCUUCAAAUAGCAGUUGAUGCAGCACAAGGUUAGCAAGCAUUAAACUUCUUUCUGAACAUGGAUUUUUCCUCAUCUAAAUAACUAACAGAAGUGGAGGAUCGAAUUGCAGCAUUUGAAUAUUUACAUGAAGGUUGCAAACCACCAAUAAUCCACAGAGAUGUUAAGACUUCCAACAUUUUGUUGGAUGGAAAAUUGCAAGCAAAAGUGGCUGAUUUUGGGCUGUCCAGAUUCAUGCCAUCAGAGAGUAGAACUAUUGUAUCAACUCAAGUUGCUGGCACACCCGGCUACCUCGAUCCUGAGUAAGUCUUCUACAACAGUAACAAUCUCUAUGAACUCUGGGUGUUGGAUUGUGAAGUCUAAAUUAAUGUUUUUAUACUACACGAAGGCAUUGAGAGUUGAGCUCCCACCAAGCUCGUAGGAAUCAAGCUCCUUGUUGAGCUUGUGGGAAUCGAGAUCCUUACUAAGCUCACAGGAAUUGAACUAUCUGGUUAGCUUGUGGAGUUUAAGGGAGUGCAUCCUUAGAAUAAUUUUUAUUUAUUUAUUGAGUGAUGAGUUUGCCCCUACAACUCCCUCAAGCCUGGAGCAGGCCCGAGCCUACCACUCCAUUCUCAAUCAGGAGGCACCAAGAGCCUUGCCCGCCAUCGUGCCUCAUGCACAAGCUGGGUGGCUCAUAGAAGCCUGGCUCACAACGGCCCUCUUGAACAAACAAUGAACCCUAAUGUGGAACGUGUCAAGGAACUAUAUUUAACCCUUCUAUGAAUUAGGGUUUUGUUUUAAAGAGAAAAAUUGUGUGCAGGCGGUUGUAAUUGAGAGAAGUGAGAGAUUUCACUGAUAUAACUCUUUCACCCUCUUUUAAUUAUUAGAUUCUUGAGUAAUGAGUUAGAGGUCUUAAAAAUUUAUCUGUUGGAAUCCGUGCAACGAUUAAUGGCAGAAAAUAAGAAAACGAGAAAGAAGAACAUGCAUAUUAAACGUGGUUCGACUAAUUGCCUAUGUCCACGGGAAUAGGGAAAGAUGAUUUUUACUAUAUAUCAAAUUAAGGUUACAUAAAAGGGUAUAUAUACUAACCUUUAGUAAUGAAAUUCCAAAAAUACUUGUGCGCCCCUCACACUCCCCCAACCUAUCGUUUACCCACAAAAAUAAAAGUACAAGCCUGAAUGACAAAUACCGCCGCUCCACUCCGUUUUGUUCCAACAUUUGCCCAUUUUUCUUCAUAUGUCUUUCACUCAAAUAUGAGUCACAUACUAAAAUAUUAUCUCUUUUUAUUUUUGUCCAAGUGUAUGGCUGGAUUAAUAUCCUUGCCUUUCUUGAUUUAACAACUGGGGAUCUUCAACUUAAUUGAUCUAAUGUAGGUACUACAUAUCGAACAAUCUGAAUGAGAAAAGCGAUGUUUACGCCUUUGGGAUAGUCCUGUUGGAGCUGGUCACUGGCCACCCUGCAAUCAUACCAGGCCAUGAGAACACACACUUAGUUGACUGGCUCAGUCCCAGGCUUGCAGGAGGGGAAAUAAGAAGCAUUGUAGACUCUAGGCUAAAUGGAGAUUUCAACCCCAACUCCGCCUGGAAACUUGUAGAGACAGCAAUGGCAUGUGUGCCCAGAAGCUCCAUACAAAGGCCAACAAUGAGUCAAGUGGUUGCGGACCUGAAGGAGUGUCUGCAGAUGGAAAUGCACCGCAACAAAAGUGCUUCACAGUCUAGAACAUAUCAAGAUACAGCAUCAAGUGCUAAUUCCAUUGAUCUGUUUGCUGUUGAGCUCGACGUCUCAAUGCCUCAUGCAAGAUAGUGAAGUUUAUAUGGACAUUGGUCUCUGGAAAAUUAAGAUUGUUGAAAAUUUUUCUGAAACAUUUCUUGGGUUCUAUCAAUAUUUGUACUUUAAUUAAAAUAGUUGAAACCAGGGUUUGGGAUUACUGUAGUCUGCAACACUGAUCCUACCCCAAAAUUUUCUUAUAUUUGUAGAACUUGUUAGUGCAGUCUGGUUGUUAAUUAUAAGAUAAAAAUAAAACUAUACUUGUAUUUACGAAAUAUCUUUAUAACUUGAAUUAUAGUUUUUAACGAUAGUAUUCAAAAGCUAUCAAAAUUCAAGCAGAACAGCGAAAGUGGAUGGAGCAAAUAUUAAUGCCCAUCAAAUAAACUCAAGUGUCAACCAAUUUUAUAUCUUAUUUAUAUGUUAUAUAAAUAUAUUAUUUUAAGAUUAUUAAUUUAUUAAUAAAUAAAAUAUUUAUUAUCUUUAUAUUUGUGGAAGUAAUACUAGAUUCUUAAACUUAGAUAUAAGUAAUUUAUUAUUAAAAUAUAUAUAUUUUUAAUUUUAAUAAUAAAUUAUAAUUUAAUAGUUUUUAAUUAAAUUUUAAAGUAAAAAAUAAAUAAAUAACUGAAACCUUGGUUGAUAAUUGAGAUUUUAGUUCAAAAAAUGAAGUUUCAAUUGUCAAUUGAAACUUUAGUUAAAAAAUAAAGUCUCAAUUGAGAACUACUAUUUUAAUUCAACAACUGAAACCUCAGUUGGUAACUGCGACUUCAGUUCUAAAACAAAGUCUCAGUUGUCAAUUGAAGUUUUAAUUAAAUUUUGAAAAAAAAUAUAUUUUUAUGACAUAACUUUUAGGUGACGCCAAAAGAGGCUAAUUUGAAUAUAAGUUUCAUAAAGUGGUUAUAUGUAAUUUUUUAUUUUUUAUUUUUUUUUAUAUUCAUGGCCAUUUUGACCCAAAACUCGUCAAACAUAUCACAUAAAAGUCCAUACAAAUGUACGUGUAAUUAUUAUGUAUUUUUCUAUCAACCAGAAUAAAAGGGUCAAAAUUCUUCUACAAUAUUAUUUUUUUUUAGUUUUUAACAUUUUAUUUUAACUUCAAAUAAAAAAUAAUAAACAAACAUAUUUAAAGCCAUCUAAAACCUGUUUCUCAACGGAGGUACCCGAAGACAAGAAGAACGAAAUGGCGUGACGUCGAUAGUGCAAUCGAACCAGGCGGCAGGAAACCCUAACUUCGACGGGAAUCCGCCGGUGGCCCCAACUCCGCUGGGAACAAACAUGACGGGCAUCUGUUUCAAAGAUCAGCUAUGGUUAAACUCCUACCCUAACUCAAAUGAGCAUAUGUCAAAUUUCCACUAAAGAAAAUAUUAUGAUCAUAGUUUUCCUUAUCACAUAUCCUUUGGAUCACCUAAAGAGAUACAUUGUCUUAAUCUCAUCAGUUAUCAUAGUGUCUCUAUUAAGAAUACAUAUUACCACCAACUUUUAUUAACAGUGAUCCAAUCCAUAAAAAUACGUUACAACACUAGGUUCUCACCCAUAGGUCAAAGUUCCCUAUUGAUUUUGGCAUAAACUUAAUAUCUUCUAAAUGUUGAGCGUUCAUGUAGUAUAGUAGCUUGGUAAAUUAUGAUAGUCGAUAGUCUUAUGUCAUGAUUCAUUAUAGGUCUUGUCUACCAUACACACUAAUGUACUCAUCAUGGAAAACUCAUCUUGACAAUCAAGAUAAGUCAUCCAUCUAAUUAAGGGGUAAUGCACUAUAGUUUAUACAAAAUUGUCCAAAUCCAUAAACCAAGUUUAAACAACUUAUCAUUUUACAAAGAAUUCAUGACUUGUAUCCUUUGUACAAUUCCUAAUACACCUAAGUCAUGUAUAAUGCAAGUGAUAUGGGUGUGAAUGCUUAUGUUAUAGUUUAUGACAUGGUACGUACAUUAAGGUUGGUUCUUGUAAGAAUUGUGCUUAAAUUAGAUGACUUGUUAUUUUUUUGGUAUUGAAUCUUUGUUAUAUUUUAUAUAUUUGAAGGGCUUAUUAUAUGAUGAUUGUAUUGGAAAGUAUCUCAAAUUCCUAAUUAAUAUAUUUCUUUUUUGAAGAAAAAUAUUAUAUAAAACAUUUUCUAAUUAGAUUUCUUGUAGAAUAAGAAAAACUAUUAAAAAUAUUUUUAUAAGUAUUAUUAGUUAUGAAAGGAAAAAGUUAUGAGAUGGAAAUGAGGCACUUGGUAGAAUAAGAGCCGGUUUCGGCUAUAAAUGAUAAAUUUAACAAGUCUUACAUAGAUGAUAUAGAAGGAAAUCAAUCAUCCACCAAACCUAACAAUGAUAUCUCUAAUGAUAGCAACAAUAUAGAAACAAAACAAUCAUCCACUCCAAUCACCCUAUUCCCAUGAUUACACCUCAACAAUUACCUAAGAAAAUAAAUCACUUAGAGACACAAUUUCAUAUUAGUAUAGCUAGAAUCCUAACAAUAUGCUUUUUGUAAAUAUAAAAUUUCCUAUUAUUAAUUUUAAAGCACUUUUAAAACACAAAUUGAAAUACAAAAUCACCUCAAAAUUGACUUAUUCAAGUCACAAAGUACAAUUGUUGAUAAUUUCCUCGGCAUUAUGUCAUGGUUGUAAUUGAGAAGAUUUAAGGCAAGCUCAAGUCAAUGAUGUUAAAUCCAUGAAUUUUUAAUGAAAGACUCUUAAAGGGAAGACUAAGUCAAUGAUAGGAUAUCCAUGAAAUUUUGAUGAAUUUUCAAUCUUCAAUUCAUAUAUUGGAUUUCAAUAACACAAAAUUUAUGUAUUAAAUAAUUACUAACAUCACCUUAUUAAAAAGGGUUACUAAUAAAAUAAAAUAUAUAAAUUUUAAAAAUAAAGAAUUAAUUACCAUUUUCACAAAAAAAAAAACUCAAAAUAUUAUUUUUCUCUCCAAAAUUUUGUAAAGCUAUGGGUCUUUGAUAAGAAAAUAUUUAGGCAUUGAAUAAGUAUAUGUCGAAAUUUGAAUUUAAGUCAUUAGUAGUAUAAUUAAAAUAUAUUCUUGAAAAACACCAUAUUUUUUAAACAAUUUUCAAAAACCCGGGAUCAAAUGACAAUAAUUUAUAUUUUCAUAUUUCUUUUUUUUUUUUUUAAAAAAAAAAAAAAGAAAGAAAUUGAGAAUCGUUCCCAAACAUAAUGACUUUUGGUGUUAUGAUAAAUCAUUAAUUUGAGUAAAAAUAUUAUAUCCAUGUAAUAUUUGCGCUAAAUCCUUCACACCUAAUAACCAUCUUCUUCCACUGAAUGGUUAAGCAUGUGCAAAUGGAAUUAUGACCAAAGAAAGAAAGUUUAAUUUUUAAUUUAUUUUAAAAUUCAAAAUCCUCUUGGAAUUAGAAGUACAAAUUACUCUAAAAAUAUAUGGGAUAUUACCAAACAAAGAGAGUUCAAUUUUUUAUUUUUAAAUUCAAAAUCCUCUAGGAAUUAGAAGUACAAUUACUUGGAAAAUAUAUGGCAAUGACUACUGUGACUAAGGUGGUAAAGAUAAACUAUUAAUUCUAGCCUUUAGCACAAGUCAAUCAUCAAGUCUUCUAACAUUAUUUAUUAAUUCAAAGAAGAACGCAUAUAUACAUCUCAGUAUUUCGGGCUUUUGCUAUCCUCAAAGUAGGGAUUUAGAAAAAAAAAAACAAAAAAUCUAGCAAUUUUAAGAGCAUAUCAAAUAUCUUAUCUUAUGAUUUUCUAACUCCUUGCCAUUCAUUUUAUCAUACUCUUUAUUUGUUGUCAUAGGUUUGAAUCCUACCUAAGAGUCUUUCAUCUAUCCUAGGAGUUGAGGAUUAAAUAAUUAUAAUAUUUAAAAAAAACAAAUUAACCAUAAAAAAUAUAUUUAUCUAUCAAAACAUAGUUAAUUAAAUAAUAUAUAUACAUACAUAUAUAUAUAUAUAUAUAUAUAUAUAUAUAUAUAUAUAUAUAUAUAUAUAUAUAUAUAUAUAUAAUGAUAAAAUAAAUGGUUUUAAUAUAUUGGUAAUAAUAAUUUAACAUAUAAAUAAUACAACAUAUAUAUUACAAUUAUCAUAUAAAAUAAUUUCUUUAUCAAAUCUGUUAAUACGUUAUCUUAAAUUGAUGUGUGAUUCCAUCUAUUCAUAUAUAAAGUAAUAUUCUGAUUUAAAAAAUAAAACCUCAACAAAAGUAAAUGAAAUUAAAUCUAAAAUAGAUCAUGCAAUUAAAAAAUGUUUUUAAAAAUUUUAUAAUUUCAAAACAAAAUUUAAAUUUAUGAUAUUUUUUAUACAUUAAAUCAAAGUUAUUUUUCUAAAAUAUAAUUUUAAUUUAAAUAUUAAAAUCGUAUUUUUGAAAAGUCAUAUAAUUUAAAAAUAAUUUUUGAAUUAAUAUAUUUAAAAAAUAAAAUUUUAAAAGCAUAAAUUUUACUUAUUUUUCUUUGGUUUCAUGUUAAAUAUACUUAAUAAUCCAUUAUAAUUUAAUCAAAUAUCUCUUUUUUAAAAUUAAAUAGGAGGUGAAUGAAAAUUAUAAAAAUUACAAAUGAGAAUGAGAAGAUAUUUAUACAAUUUAAAAUUUUUAUUUAUUUUUUAAAAUUUAAGGUUGAGAUAAAUGUUUUUUUUUUUUUAAUUUCAUUCAUUGUUUCAAAAUUCCAACGGUUGCCCACAACGGCGAGAUAGGGCAUUGGCAGUGCACCUCAGUUCGGCAACAACAGAGGGAGAGAGGUGGGCAGAUGCCUCCGCACGCCCACACAAUGACACCACAAGGAUCAGAAGUAGAGAGCUGAGAAGCCAGCACGCAGCGAUUUUGUCAAUAUAGGUCUCUUCUUUCAAGAAGGGGGAAAUUCAGAAAUUAGACAUUGAGAAAUCAGAAAAAUCAAAAGAAAAAAAAAUCCGAAAGAGAAAAUUCAGAGGCGACUCUGUACGAGAAAAAGAACUUCAUAACAAAAAAAAAAAAUCUUUAUCAAAUCUCCCUUCAAGUUAGAUAAAUGGAAAAAGAACGGUUACACACGUUUUUCGUCAUUAAACGAAUUUAUUUAAAAAUAAGCCACUUAUUACCCUCGAUUGAUAUUUGAAAUCAAAAAAACGUUAUUGACGUUCUUCAAGUUGUGAUCAAAAUUAAGGAAUCAUAUAGAAAAUAUUCUUUUGUAAAUAAUAUCAUAUUUGAGAUUGAACUCCAAUAUUUUUAAUUUUGAUAAAUAUUUUAUUCGUAUUAUUUUUGUUAUUAUUUUACUUAUAUUAUAGGACUUUUUAUGAAAUUUGUGCUUAAAAUUUGAAAGGGAUAAAAUGAUUUCUCUUGGUAACUCGAACGAUUCAAUCAAGUUUAAUGUAUUCCUAACCGAGUCGGACUCGGUUAAGUGUUACCAGAGUCAGCCAAUAGUUUGAACCAGUGGACAUACCUACAUUCUUUAGUAAUAUCUCUAAGUUGGGCGAAUUGUCGCUUGUUUUAGUUUGCAGUUUGAUACUGUCUUUGCAAUAUUUAUAUAUAUAGAGUAAUUUCAGAAACUUGAUUUCUAAUUAAAAAUCUUCUAAUAACUAAGUAGUUUCUCGUGAUUAAGACACCCAACGCGUUGUCGUGGACAGGUAUCUGCAAGUGGAAAUGGGUGAGUAAUGGAGAUAUAGACUUGUAUUGACUCUUGAGAAUUGGGUUGGAAAUGUGAGCAAUGGAGAUAUAGACUUGUAUUUGAAAGGUUAUAAAAUAAAUUUAUAACAUAUACAGCAGAAAAUUGAUCUAUUUUGCAUUCAAAAUAUAUACUGCAGCUAUCAAAAAUUUAAAAUAAUAACCUGGAUGUCAGUUCUUCAAGCAUAAAAUUUUCUCCAAUUGUAUGAAGACUCUACGUGUAUCCACACCGAAAUUAAUCUUUGCUAUCAACCCUUUGAUAUGCGGAACUUUAAAAAAAAUAGAACAACACUUUGUAUUUCUUUGGCGUAAAAACAAGGAGGAUAAAGAUAGAUCGAUCUUUAUUCAGAUUGUGUAUAUAUGCUAUAUAGCAUAUCCGAUACAACUUCUGUUUUAAGUGAUAAGAUAACUCAACUAAUUUGAUUUUUUUGAUUUUAUCACUUAAUCUAUCUCUAUCGUGUCCUCCUUUUUUGGGCUACUAAGAGAUUCUAUUGGUCCAUUUGUUUUUCUUUUGCUAUUUUCAAUAGCAUUUGAAAAACACUUUGACUAAGUCUUGUAAGUUAAAAACAAAACCCACAUCCCUCCUGUAAGUUGCUGCAUGUACCCAUAUAUUUGCAAAUGUUUAGCAAACAUUCUCGUGGACUAACUUCCACGUCCAAAGAAAAAUAUAUAUAUAUAUUUUUUAUCUAUAUAUUAAUUAUAUUCUUGGUGCUAGCAAAGAAUAUAAUAAUAUUCCACAUAGAACAUAUUUAUUUAUUUGAUUAAAAUUAAAUUCUCUAAUUUAAUUAUCAAAUAAUAAUAAAUAGCUCUUUGCAAAGAUUAAAACACUCGUUUGUGUGUGACCCCGUAGGUUCAUUACUAAGCUGGUAGUAAAUUAAUAAAAUCAAUUUACUAAUUAAGGUAGGCGUCUAGCAACACUCCUUAACGUCCAGAUAGUAUGAAGUAAUAUCUUUUACUUUCAAGAACCGGUAGAAGAAUAAUGUAAUAUUUCCUUCCAUCAUUUACAGCUCUGGGCUAACUCUAGAGUAUGGUAUUACUGUCAAACUCUAAUAAGUCAACACAUUAUUUAUUUAGUGAAUGACUUAAGAAACUCAUUUCUUCAUUCAUUCAAUUGCCCUUGGCCAAGGUCUUAUUUUUAUCAUAGAGCUCAAACUCAUUACCAAGAGUUGAUGGAUUCCUUCUUGAUUAAUCAUUAAUUCUACAAGUAUUUAAUUAUAUCCAAUAUCCAUUCAACUAGUGCCCUAAGGCAUUAGGUGUCCGGGAUUAAAAUAUAAUAAAUAACUUGUUAAUUACUUUGAUAAUCUCAUGUCAAAGAAAACUAUUAUAUUUCUUCUUGAGAAAUUCCUAUUGACAAUUUAAGGUAAAGAUAACCAUUAGAAAUUCUCAGUUGAGUCAGUUCAAUGAUCACAUCUACAUGUGCAUCAUCUAUAUAUGUAAUUUAACAAAUGAGAUAUAUCAAUCUUUAUCCAAUAAAGACCAUCACAUAUAUAUUGAUCUAUCUGGAUUAUUGAUGUCCUGUUGACAAUAAUCCUAUGAUCAAGAACAGUUUAGAUUAAAAUUAUUAAAAGAAUUGCUUCUCAUUAUCAUAAUCUCUAUCAUGAUAACAAUUUUCAAAUUUUAAUCAAGGACCUUAUCAUAUAAACUAUUUUAAACAGAUAUGAUAAUGAAAUAAAGAAUUAAUACCUUAUUAAAACUAAAGUUGAUUACAUGAUAGAUUGGAUCUUGGGCAUACAUUUAUCCCCAACAGUAUUGACUCUUGAGAACUGGGUUGGAAAUGGGUGAUCGAUGGACAUAUAGACUUGUAUCGACUCUUGAGAACUGGGUGAUCGAGGCUCCCCUUCAUUGCUGAGGAGGCAAACAAGGAGACCGAUGGAAUUGUUAAUUGUUCUUUCUGGAUAUUUAGCUUUUACUGCUAUGGUUCGUGGCCAGGAUCAAUCCGGUACGCAUAUCUCUCUCACAUCUCAUGAUUUCUUGCCCUCUCCCUCCCCUGGAUCUCUCAUAUGCACUCUGUAUCUCCAGGACUAGCUCCGAGGAACUUUCCUUUAAAGAGACGCUCACCUGUUUGAUAACUGUUUUAAAAAACAGUUUUUAAGAAAUGUUUUCAAAAAUUAUGAAACAUGUUUUCCUUAUUUUUUUUAUUCUGAAAAACAAAAUACUAUUUUUAAAAACAAUUGUCGAACAAACUGUUAUUUUCUUUCUUGUUUCUGUUAAUAGAUUUUCCAUGUUUUCAUUUUUAAAUGUUUUAGCCGAUAUUUAUAGAUGCUGAAUUUUUAAAUGAUUUUCUCUUUAGUGCGUGAGAGAAUAGAAAUACAUUGCUUGGUUGGGAGUUUUGUGGAGACUCCCAACUCUGUUCCAGAGUUGGUUGAGUUGAGACGCUGGGCGUGUCGUGUGUGGUCUCUGAAAAGGGGUUGAUUUUGAGGAUAGGUACGAGGCUGAGAGGGUGUUGGCAAGGAGAACGUUUUGCAUUUGGAGAGGUGGAAACCUGAGGUAGGGUGCUGUCGUAAUGGUGUGGCACCUAAGGAAGCUUGGGUGCGAAUUCUGGGACUCCCGCUGCACUUAUGGGCGGGAUUGUUAGAAGUAGUAGUGGGCUCUUCCACUUUUUCUAUUCCGAAAGGUGAUGGAAGUGGUUGCAGGGAUGGCUGGAGAAGACGAUGAGGGAACCUCACGCGCCAUUGUGAGAGUGUCUCUGGAGAAGCCGAUGGAGCAGCUGGGAAGGGGUUGCGUGUCGCUCCCCGAAGGCAGGAGGAACAGGGUAAGUAAGGGCAGAGUAACUGGCCCUACUACGAGCUCUGCUGAGGUGUCAGAGUUAGGAGGCGGUGUAGUGGGAGAAUUUGGAGAAGUGGGCUUCUCCGUUUGGGCCGAGUCAGUUUUCGUUCUGGCAAAGAGGACUUAGAGGCUGAUGGGCCUAGUGAUGCAGGGGAGUUGUGGCCCAAUUGGACAUGGGCCGUUCUACUAAGGAGAGGAGAGCCCUUUAGUAAUUAAAAGGGGGGGAGCCCAAGAGGGACUUGGUAUUCUCGUUCUGACGAGGGGAGGUGGAGGAAUCGUUAGGCCUUCUGAAGGGGAUGAGGCUGGUACGGAAAGCUCCGGCUUUCGAGCCUCCGCUUGCUCCUCCGCAGUAGAGAGCGAUCGUGACAAGUGGAGAGAUGAAGAAGAUUUUGUCCCCGUGGCUAAGAGUCAUCCGAUGGAAUUAGGGGUUUCUACAGUGUCGCGCCGUCAGAGGCCACAGACGAGGCUCUCUUGGCGGAGGUGACCAGUUAUUCUGACUCACCCCUCUUCUCCUUGUCCUUGGGACUUUUUGGGGUUGCGGGUUUCCUCUUCUUCUUUUCCUUCUGCUUUGGGUCGAGGAUUUGAUGGGGAAGAGGCUGCGGUGUGUUGUGGCGACUCGAUGGAGAAGAAAGGAGUGGAUUUUCAGCACCCCUGAGGAAGAUUUCGGCAGAUAGGAGGAUAAUGGAGUCUCGGUCUGUUGAAGAAGAGGAACAGGAUGUAACAGGGACCUGGGACGAAAGGGCUUUGACUUUGAUUAGUGAUCAUAUCGAGGGGGAGGGGGAGUCAUCAGAGUGUUGGUCCAUGAGUUGUCUUGCACAGUUCAGAAAAUUAUUGGGUAUGCCAACAACAGGUUUUGAGAAGGAAAUUUUGGCUUUGCUUAAAAAGCUGAACCAAAAAAGGAGCAGACUGGAAAAAGAGGAUCAAGUCUAGGUUCGAAAGGGAGUUGAGGAAGUUAGAAUGUUCUGACAAUUAUAACAGAACAGGUUGGGGGAAUAGUCGAUCUAAAGAGGGGGGGAUUCUGGUUGUAGUGGAUAAAUGAAGCUAAAAGUUCUCUCUUGGGAUGUGAGGGGGGUUAAUGACAGUGAUAAAAGGGAAGUUAUUAAGGCCUUAAUCAAGUCCCAGAGAGUGGAUUUGGUUUAUCUUUAAGAAACCAAGAUUCAAGACAUGUCUAUGGGUACUGUGCGAAGUCCUGGAGUGGGAAGAGUUUUAGAGUGGGGUGCUUUGAAUUCUCGGGCUGCAGCAGGGGAGUUUUGGUUUUUUGGGACAGUAGGGUGCUUGAGUAGGUGGGUAUGGAAAAAGGAUAAUUUUCGAUAUCCUGCUGUUUCAAAAAUUGUGAGGAUGGAUUUACUUGGAUUUUUACUGGGGUGUAUGGCCCUACGGUAAGGAGGUUUAGAGAAGACUUUUGGGGAGAAUUGGGGGCAUCAGGGGGUUUUGGGGUGACUCUUGGUGUAUUGGUGGGGACUUUAACUUUAGUGAGAUUCCCAAGGGAGAAAAGCAGAGGCAGUCAGUCGUGGGGGAAAUGAGAAGAUUUUCAAAGGUCAUUGAUGACCUAGAAAUGAAAGAUCUGCCUCUACAGGGGGGUUCGUUCAAUUGGAGGGGAGGGUUAAAUAAUCAAUCCCAGUCUGGAUUGGAUCGAUUCUUGGUGUCAGAGGUGUGGAUUACCUAUUUCAGUGGGGUGGUCCAAAGCAUCUUGCUUAGACCUGUUUCUGACCACUUUCCUAUUCUGCUAGAUGGGGGAGAUUUGAGAAGUGGCCCUUCCUCGUUUAGGUUUGAGAUCAUGUGGUUGAAGGUGGAAGGUUUCAAAGAUUUAUUGCAGUCUUGGUGGUCGGGUUUCAGUUUCAGCGGUUCUUACAGCUACAUUCUGACAGAAAAAUUGAAAGCUUUGAAGGCUAAGUUGAAGGUUUGGAACAAAGAGGUUGUAGGACCUCAACAGAGGUCUUUGGCAAUGUCUCGUCUGGUAAGGACAGGACUCUAAAUUAGGAGGCUUUGUGGGAUUCUGAGGAAGCAUCCAGAGUGUUGACUGGGGAGGAGCAGAAUGCUAGGAAUCUGGCAAGGGAAGAGUACAAGAACUGGUCCCUUCACGAGGAAACCUUGUGGAGGCAGAAGUCAAGAGAGUUGUGGCUGAAGGAAGGAGAUAGAAACACUAGCUUUUUCCAUAAAAUGGCUAAUGUUCACAGGAGAAGGAAUCAGUUAGCAAAGAUUACAAUUAAUGGGAGUUGGGCUACAGAGGAGAGAGAGAUUAAGGAGGGGGUGGUUCAGGCUUUUCAGGUUCUUUUGUCUUAGACACAUGGAGGCCUAUUGUCAAUGGGCUUUCUUUUGAGGUGUUAGGGAAUCAAGAUGCAGCAUAUCUGGAGGUCCUUUUCUCUGAGGAGGAGGUGUUCACAGCCCUUUCAGAUCAAAGCACCAGGUCCUGAUGGCUUUCCUAUGACUUUUAGGCAGCUCAGUUGGGAUUUUGUGAAGGAAGAGGUGAUGGGGAUUCUAAUGAAAGGGGCUGUUUCAUGAAGAGUUUGAAUGCUACUUUUUUGGUCUUAUUCCCUAAGAAAGGGGGCGCUGAAGACCUUAAGGGCUUUAGGCCUAUCAGUUUGGUGGGUGGCCUCUUCAAGCUGUUUGCUCAAAAAGGCUAAGGAUGGUGGUUUUUUGCCAGGUUGGAGGGUGAAUGGAAGAUGUGGAGAUGGAGUGGUUAUUUUCCACCUUUUGUUUGUCGAUGAUACGUUAGUGUUGUCCAAACCGAAUCAAGACCAGUUGACUUACCUUGGUUAUUUAUGUGGUUUGAGGCCAUCUCGGGGCAUAGCAUUAACUUGGAAAAAAGCGAGUUAAUUCCGAUGGGAAGAGUGGAGAAUGUAGAAGAGGUAGCCCUUGAGUUUGGAUGCAAGGUGGGAAUACUUCCAUCGUCUUAUGUGGGUUUUCGCCUUGGGGCCCCUUUGAAGUCUAUGGUAGUAUGGGAUGAGGUGGAGGAGAGGUUUCGAAGGAAGCAGGCCAUUUGGAGAAGAUGGUACUUAUCCAAGGGUGGGAGGUGUUCCUUUAUUUGAAACACUCUUUCUAGCAUGCCGAUAUACUCAUGUCCUUGUUCUAUAUUCCAAGGACAGUUAUGAUGAGGUUGGAAUAGAUUCAAAGGAAUUGCCUUUGGAGAGGAGGAGCACUAGAGCAAAAGCCGCACUUAGUAGGGUGGUCUGUUGUUUGUACAGAUAAGAGUAGGGGUGGAUUGGGGGUAAAGAAUCUUGCUAAGCUUAACAAAGCCCUUCUAAGUAAAUGGAGCUGGCAGUUUGCAGAGGAUAAGGGAGAUUUGCGGAAGCAAAUUAUAAGUGGCAAGUAUGGGGUGGAAGAGGGAGGGUGGCGAUCUAAGGUGGUGAGAGGAAGUUACAUGGUAGGAUUAUGAAAAACCAUUAGAAAGGAAUGGGAGCUAAUAUCUAAUAGAGUUGUCUUCUCGGUUGGUAGUGGGUGGAGGGUGAAAUUUUGGAAGGAUAAGUAGUAUGGUGAUGUGGCAUUGUGUACUUUGCUUUUUAUGCUAUUGCUAAUCUUAAGGAGGAUUAGGUGGUGGAUGUUUGGCACUCAACAGUUGAACGGGGUGUUGGGCCCCUCGCUUUAUUAGGGCUCUUAAUGAUUGGGAAUUGGAUUUGGUGGAACAUUUUCUCUUGAGUUUGCAAAGGAGGAGGACGUGUAAGGAUUAAGAAGAUAAAGUGAUUUGGUCAAGAUCGAAAUAUGGGAAGUUUUCUGCUAAAGCCUUAUAUUUGACCUUGGAGACUGAAAGUUCUGUGCCCUUUCCUGCUAGUGUGAUUUGGAAUUUGUGGGUACCCUCCAAGGUUAGUUUCUUUGCUUGAGAGGCUUCUUGGGCGAAGGUGUUAACUUUGGAUUGUUUAAAGAGGAGAGGGUGGCCUUUAGCAAAUAGAUGUUUUCGUUGUCUUGAAGAGGAAGGGACCAUUGGAAUCUAGUGUUCUUUUUUGGCGUGCUUUGGACACUUCCUUCUUCUAUUAGAGACACACUUCUAGGAUGGCAUGGCUCUUUUGUCAGUCAAAGGCGGAAAAAGGUGUGGUGGGCUGCUCCUUGGAAGGAAAGAAAUAGAAGAGCUUUCGAGAAUGAGGAACAAUCUGUUCAAGGACUAGAACUUGCUUUCCUUUGUAAUCUAUAGGAUUGGUCUUGGUUAUUUUUAUUUUCUGGCCCUUCUUCAGUUGUAGAUUUUGUGGAUUGGGUGGGUUCUUGUUGAGGAGGAUGUAGUUUUUGUUUGUCCUCGUCCUUUUUUUGUGCUUUUAAGCAUUUGUUGUAUACCUCCUGUGUACUUUGGAAUGCUAUUUUGUCCUUUUUUUGUUUAUAAUAUACUUUUGCUUUACUCAAUAAAAAAAAAAAGGAAUUUCAGUCAAGAAAGUAUGUUAAAUACGGAUAAUGAAGGAAAUGAGAAGUUAUACCAAAGGAUGAUGCUGACUUUGCCAGCUGAACCCCUCACAGCAAUCUUGUUCUCCUCAAACCCUCUUCGCUUGCUUAAUCCUCUGUUCUCUUUACUUUCAUCACCAACACAUGUAAGAGAAUAACUUGAGCUUAAUCCAUGUGUUCCUUUACAAUCCCGUGGUACAACUGAAGAAGAUCCUAGAAAAACUUGUAGUUGAGAGGAAGAAUUGCAUGAAACAUGUGGAAUUCUAGGACAAAUCAAAAUUUUGAUUUCUAUUUCCUGGUAUCAAUUUCGAAAUGACUGAUGACUGAUAUUAAAAUUUUGAUAAGGGACCUCAGAAAUUGCAUUUGGUAUUGGCUUGGGUGCUAUCUAGUAGCUGAUGUCAAAGUUUAGAUAUGGAUUUUGGUAGUGUGUCUCACUAUUUGACACCGUCAAAUUUUGCAUGUUGCAUGGGAAUCCCUGAGCCAAUCUUUACACACUAAAUAGUACACAUUUUGGAUGUGUGGAAGCUCUUGAAAAACAUGACCAAUACUCAUCAAAACAAAUGCAUGAGAUAUGAGCACAUAUGGUAUAUGCGUGUUAUGCUACCAAUGACAAAAUUAGGGGUCAACAAUUUUUUUUUUCUUGUUCUUCCUCAUUUUAUCAUCAAUUUGUGCCCUUUCAUAUAUUUGGUUGGCCCUGUUAAUAAUAGUUUUGUUUCCCUAUAAAAAAAAUUCAAAAUUAUUAUAUCAGUAGGAUCUUAUUUUUGUAUUUCUUACUAGAAAAUUUAAGUGAAUUAGUUAUAUUAACAUUGGGUAUGAUAUUUUAGUUAACAUUCAAUACAAGCUAGAUUUUACAUUGAUCUGCCGCUCUCAUGUACUCAUAUCUCACAUGAGCAUACUACUUAUUGACUUGACAAGGAGAGUUUGAAAUUUUGUAGGCUUCAUAAGCAUCGAUUGUGGGAUAAAUCCGGGUUCCAGCUAUUUUGGUGCCGCAACUGAAAUAUAUUACAUGUCAGACUCAGAAUUCAUAGACACUGGGAUAAAUUAUGAUGUUUCCAUAGAACACAGAUCCAGGUUUGGAACUCCAGAUCAGCAGCUUAUGACUGUGAGAAGCUUUCCAGAAGGAACCAAGAAUUGUUACACUCUUCAACCACAACAAGGCAAAGAUAAUAAGUACUUGAUCAGAGCUUCCUUCAUGUAUGGGAACUAUGACUCCAAGAAUCAACUUCCAGAGUUCAAACUAUAUCUGGGUGUUAAUGAAUGGGAUGCUGUGAAAUUCAACCAUUCAUAUGAUAUUGUCAGGAAGGAAAUUAUACAUGUCCCAAGAACAGGUCACAUAGAUGUCUGCCUAGUGAACACUGGUUCUGGGUCACCUUUCAUAUCGGCAUUAGAGUUGAGACAACUGAAUAAUUCCAUUUAUUCAACUCAAUCUGGAUCAUUGAUACUCUUUAAGAGGCUUGAUAUUGGUUCAACACGUCAGACAGUCAGGUGAGGCAUGCUGUGAGUAGGUCACUAACAUUAUCACCUAUCACCCAAUAUUCACUACUUAAUUUCCUUAAUUUCUUUCACCUUAAGCUUGUGUAUUUCUAAAUGACUUAAACUAACAAAUUAUAUAAUUCUCACCAGAUACAAAGAUGACGCUUUUGAUCGCAUUUGGGAACCAUUCAGCCGGCCUUAUUGGAAAUCAGUGAGCGCAUCCUAUAGUAGUGAUACUUUAAGUGAUAACCACUUUAAACCUCCAUCCAAGGUCAUGGCAACUGCUGUAACCCCUGCUGAUGAAAGAUAUCCCUUGGAAUUCCACUGGAAUCUGGACAAUUCUACUCGACAGUUCUAUGUAUACACGCACUUUGCUGAGGUUGAGGAGCUCCAAUCCAACCAGUUGAGAGAAUUGUAUGUAUCACUUAAUGGUUGGUUCUGGAGUCCUGAACCUAUUGUUCCUGGAAGAUUGGUUCCACAUACUGGAUUUAGCGCACAUUCCAUAAGUGCAUCAUCUGAGCUAUCGCUUUCAAUUUUUAAGACACACAGAUCCACUCUUCCACCAAUUCUCAAUGCUUUGGAGAUUUAUGAGAUAAAACAGUUGUUUCAAUCAUCAACUGUCCAGAGCAAUGGUAUGUGUCCUUGUCCUCAUAUUUCUUAAGGACUUAAAGAGAAUAGGAUCU